AGACGGUGACGAACGACCAGAUCGCGGCGGACCUGAAGCAGUAUGUGAUAAAGCCUGUGAUUCCGGAGAAGUACAUGGACGAGAACACGAUUUUCCACCUGAACCCGUCGGGGCGGUUCGUGAUCGGGGGGCCGCACGGGGACGCGGGGCUGACGGGGAGGAAGAUUAUCAUCGACACGUACGGGGGGUGGGGAGCGCACGGAGGAGGCGCAUUUUCGGGGAAGGACCCGACGAAGGUGGACAGGAGCGGGGCGUACAUUGUGCGGCAGGCGGCGAAGAGCAUCGUGGCGGCGGGGCUGGCUCGGCGGUGCAUCGUGCAGGUGUCGUACGCGAUCGGGGUGCCGGAGCCGCUGUCGGUGUUCGUGGACACAUACGGGACGGGGAAGAUUCACGACUCGGAGAUAUUGAAGCUGGUGAAGGAGAACUUCGACUUCAGGCCGGGGAUGAUGUGCAUCAACUUGGACUUGAAGCGAGGCGGGAACAGGAGGUUCCAGAAGACGGCGGCGUACGGGCACUUCGGGAGGAACGACCCGGACUUCACGUGGGAGGUGGUGAAGCCGCUGAAGUGGGAGAAGACGGAGGCGUAGAGGGAGUGGGAGUGGGAUUGGGAGUGGGAUGAUGUAGGGAUAUGAUGAGGGGACGGGGUGAUAUGAGCUCCCCCCUGUGUGUAGCGUGCGGUGCGGUGGGAAAGGGAAAGCACGGACAAUAUUCUUUUCUGUUGGCGGUGGCUGUGAUGGUGUGAUCGGGUGAUGGUGUGAUCGGGGAGGGAGAUAGAGAGCGGGAAUGGGAAUGUGGGGGUGAAGGGGGAGGUAGGGAGUAGGUGGUGUAUGGCAACUGCAUGAUGAACAGAAGGUUGAUGAUUUUUGAUGACGCUGGAUAUUGUAUGGUAAUUGGAAUGGAGAGUUGGGGUGCAGUCGGCGAAGCCGGGUGUGCAGGAUUGAAUAGUGGUGGGAUGAGGUCCACCAUUACUGAUCUCAAAAUUGUAUGUGGUGGAUGAGUUUUAUGUGCAUUUUUAUAUUCUGAAUUCUCUGAUCAAGAUGUGUAUUUUUUGUGCAUAUCACUGUGUUUGAAUCUUCUCAGUUUUUUCAACUAUCAUUCGCUGGAUUUCACUAUCAACGUAAGAUAUUUGGAGAAAUGGGAUUGUACUCAUUUAGAUGAGAAAUUUUGUUUGUAGCGGGGCUCAGAAUGCGACACGGUUAAGAGAAGCAGAGCAGUCAGCAGAGAGAACCAUUUUAUUUAUAUCUGAUUGUGGACCUAAUUUACGAAUAGCACCAGAGAUUGUAUUGUGUCAUUGAAGCGAAAUUACCUACGUGAGGGUGCUCAAUCAAAAUAUUUUUGACACAUUUUAUACUAUAAUACUAUAAUAUGCAUGGUGGCUAUUCUCGAUGGAUGCAAUUGUUCUCAAAACUGUACAAUCAAAUUCAUGUUUUCUUUAAUUUGAAAAACAAUCCCUGGCAAUUUAUUAAAAUGUCCAAAUUACAAAGUUUCUCUUGUCCUAUUGAAAAUUUUGAAAUUUAUGAUCUAAACACAUGGUUGCAAAUGGUGUAUAGAAGUAAGCUUGCGCAAUCAUUGUGGAUGAUUUUUAAUCCACAAUAAUGGUUCAAACCUAAUUCAUUAUAUAUUUUUAAAUUCAAAAAGUAAUUUUUAAUUUGGGAUUCUUUUCUAAAAAUGAUCUUAACUCUUAAUUUUAAAUCAAUAAUUUUAAUUUCUAAAAAUAAAUUAUUAAAUUUGGCAUCUUUUGUGGAUAAUAAUCAAGAAAAGAUUUAGUGUGAAUGGAAUCUAAGAAAAAUGAAAAGAAUUGGUAUAAAAGAAGUUUAGAAAAGAAACUAGUAUAAAAAGGAUUAGAAAAGAAAAAUUUAGAAAUAGUUAGUAUCUAGUUACUCAUGUGUUUAACAUGUGUUUAAUAACACAAAGUAAUUGUGUAAACAAAGAUUGUUACACACAACACAUUGAGUGCCAUAAAUCAACCACAAAGUAUACAAUUUAAAUCAAAUACAAAUGCACAACUAAUAGAGUUUCAAGAAAAGAUUAUGAAUCUACAUAAAAAUAACUCAAGCUAUCUCUCAUACCACAAAAGGAGAAUCAAAGAACGUAAGUGUGAGUAGAAAAAACCUUAUUGCAUUAUUAAAUGGCUAAAUCUCCAUAGCCAAGCAAAUCUAUACAACACAAGCUUUCUCUCUUUUAAAAUUAUUCAUAAGAUUUGAUUUGACAAGAAUGUCAAGUCAAGGUGGUUUCUCUAUCUAAUUUUUCAAAUCCUAGUUGAUAUUAACAAAGUCAACUAACAAAGAAUAACUAAAUGGAUGUAAAAUCACUAAACCAAACCAAAUUACAUACAUCCAACAAGAUUUGGCAUCCAAUGCUACAUCAUAUGAUAAGGUGGUUAAGUUGCCUUACUAUGAAGGAUAAGAACUUAAAGAAGAUACAAUAAAUAAGUGAGAUAAGUAUCAAAGAAAGAUGAAAAAAUAAUAAUAAGAUAGUAUAUAUAUAUUUAUUUAUUUUUUGAAAUGACUAUUGCCAAAGGCUAAAAAUCUAGAGACUCUUGAAAUUAGACUAGAAGUAAAAAAAGAAUUGACAAGAAUGAAGAAGGCUUCACUCUCGCUUCUAUAUAUACUAUCUAAUUAGAAGUUAUAUGGCGAUGUUCUAUAGGAUCCUCAAUAUCUGUUUAAUUAUCAAGACAUAUGUCUUUACUUGCAAGACAAGUUUUUUAUAUGUGUGUCACAUGGUUAGCUUAUAUUAUAAGCUAUUAAUACAUGUAAUAUGCAUCUAAUUUAUUCACUAAGUGUUCAUCCUAUCAAUCAUGUGUUGACACAUAUAAAGAUGAAACCAUAUUAAUGGAGCUUUUAAAAAGUUUUUUUAUAAAAUUUUAUCUAAUUAAACUAUUUUUAUCUAUUUUAAAUUAUUCAUAUUAUUUAGAUAACUAUAUCAGUAAAUAUAAAUGUUCAUGACAUUACCUCUCUUUUUAGAAACAAAUUCUAUGACAAGUGGUGAUUGCAUAUUGAAGAAGUCCAAAAUGCAAUGAAUUAUAUUUGCUACGUAUUCUAAUCUUUAUUCUCUUUGAAGGGAAUUUGAUUGGUCCUCUCAUCCAUUGAUAAUGUCUUAUUUUAGGGUGUAAAGUCUAAAUUAUUAUUAUAUCAUUUUUGUGGCCUUUGUAACUUUUCUUAAAUAAAACAUUUGUAACAUCAUCAAGAGUCCUUCCUACCUCUAAUAAAAUUACCAAAUACUAGGAGUCUCUUUUAAGGUCAUAAUAUCAAAUAUGUUGUAUCUCACCAUCUAUUUGUUAUUCUUCAAGGUCUUCAUCUCUAUUAUGUCAUCUUGAAGGUUGUAAUAAUAUCAUGGAUAUACAUACUUAUUUUAAUAUUUACCUAAAUGAUUAAGUAAAAGUUGGUAAAAAUAGAUUCAUUUCAUGAUAUUUUCUAGAGCUCCUUCCUAGAAGCUUCAUAGAUAUUGUUUUGAUUUUUGAUAUGUUUAUAGUUGAUUGGUAGAUUAGAUACUUGAUCAAUAAGUUAACUACGUAUUAGUAGCUUGUGGAACAAACAAACUAUGUAGCGUACAUAUAAAAAACUUGCUUUGCAAAUUAAGAUACAUAUCUGGUAAAGUCAACGUGUUUUGGAGGUCUUAUAGUACAAUGCCACAUAACUCCUAAUUAAGAAUAUAUAUGGAAGGAAGAGUGAAGCCUUCUUCAGUCUUAUCAAUGCCUUUCUAGUCAGUCUUAUUUCAAGACUUUCUAGUUUUCUUGUCUUUGGCAAUAGCCAUUUUAAUUUAAUAUUAUAUCAUCUUUGAGUGAUUUUCUAGUCUUUUCAAGUGGCACAAGAAUGUAUUGAAAUUUUAAUUCUUUAUGAUUCACGUCUUUGAAAUAAGAGUAGUAACUUACUAUUUUUGUCUUAUUUGAAAAAUGAGUAGAUUAUCCCUCUUCUAUUGUUAUAUUUUGAAGGUUACAAAUUAUUUUCUUUUAAUUUUAUUUUUUGAAUUUAUUUGAAUUUUUUAUAGAAGGAAAGAUUAUAGAUGCUACUUUCAGUAGAAGUAAGAAUAGAUUUGCAACUAUUGCAUAUCUUCAUGAGCUUAUCAAUACUUCAAGAGUCAAAAUUUUAUAUAUUUCCAAUAUGAAUUAUGAAAGUACUAUUUUUACGUUUAUAGAAGAAGUUUAAAGUCUAUGCUAAGAAGUUGUGCAGUUGAAGGAAGCAAGUAGAUUGACUUCACAACCAAAUCCAAUAUAGGUUGAAGGAUAAUGUCUAAGAUUUGUUAUUUACAAUAUUAAAAGAAAAAUCUUUGAAACAAUUUAUUGCUCAAGCCAUUACGUGUGACAAUUGAUUAUUUGAAAGUCGUCAAGAAUAAAGACUCGGAUAGAGAAGAAUAAAUCAAGUAAUGACAACAACUCUCAAGUUUUUUGAAACUUAAUCAUUAAGGCCACAAUCAAUGCAAAUUAAUCCAAUGCAUUUGAAAUCUUUCAUAAAAUAGGAAAUAUCUUGAUGUUAUUAAGAGGAUUUGUGGUUAUAUUGUGGAGAAGCUAAGCAAAUUACUUAACAUUAUCUUGAGAAGCAACAUAAUAAAAAAAUGAAGAGUAUGAUUGCCAAAAAAAGACAAUGUGUCAACAAACAAAAUUUUCCAACUAUAAUAGAGACUGUGCAAUUGGAAUCUUAUGCAAUACCAAGUAAAGGUCCAAUUCUCUUCUUAAAUCCCCCACUUUAUUUUAUAAUAGAUGUAUGUUUAAGACCUAAAAAUUACAAAGUCUUUUUAUUAUUAGAUUUGAAAGCCUCACCUUUUUUAUUGACAAAGACUUUGUCAAAAAAUAAAAAAUAACUUUAGUCAAGAAAACUAAAUCUAUACAUGUAGAAGUCAGAGAUGAUUGUUUGUUGUCUUUUGGAGAUAUUAUUCAUGAAAUUAUUCCUUUAGAUGUAGCAAUCAAAGAUAAUAAUAACAUAAUAAUAUUUAAUGUAAUAAGAUCUCCCUUCAAUCUAGUUAUUUUAGGAUUAUUGUGGUUAAAAAAAAAUAUAAUCUUCAAAUAGAUUGGAUUUCUUAUAACUUUAAUUUUUUUGAUAAUUUAAUUCAAAAUCUUACUAGUCAAGUAAGAAUACAUAAGUUUGGUAUAUCCAAACCCUUAUUGGUAGAAGCGAGAGCUUUCAUGCAUGCUGCAAAAAAAUGGUCAUCUUUUAAUAUAUAUACCAUGCUUAUUUAUGAUGGUAAAAAGACAUCAAGUGAUAUUCCUAGCUAGUAUCAAGAUUUUUAGGACAUUUUAAAAAAAAAGAAUGCAGAUAUUUUUUGAAAGCAUUAACUUUAUGAUUAUGCAAUUAAUCUGCAAGAAAUAGCUAAACUAUCAUUUGGACCAAUCUACAACUUAUCACAGAAUAAAUUGGAUGAACUAAAGGAAUAUAUUUAUGAAGGUUUGGCUAAAAAUUCAUAUGCCAUUCAAAAUUUCUAAUGGAAGCUCUUAUCUUAUUUGUAAAGAAAAAAGAUGGAUCUUUAUAGAUGUGCAUAAACUAUUGAGGAUUUAAUAAGAUCACUAUAAAAAAUUGAUAUCUUCUAAUUUUUAUUUAGAACUUCUUGAUCAACUCAAUCAAGCAAAGAUCCAUAUGAAAAUAGAUUUAGAAAGAGCUUAUAAUCUCAUAUGCAUUAAAAAAAGAGAUGAAUAGAAGACUGUGUUUUAAUUCAUGUAUGGGCAUUUUAAAUAUAAUUUCAUGCCUUUUGGAUUCACAAAUCUACCAAUUGCUUUUUAACAUUUAAUGAAUAAUGUCUUUUUUGAUCUUUUUUAAAAUUUUAUUAUUUAUUAUUUAGUCAACAUCUUAAUCUAUUCUAAAAAUAUAAAAGAGCAUGAAAUUCAUGUUUUUUUGUGUAUUACAAAAACUUAGAGAUGUAAGAUGAUAUACCAAGUUAAAAAACUAUAUUUUCCAUAUUAUAUAAGUUGAUAUCUUAGGAUACAUCAUUUCCAACAAAGGACAAAUAAUGGAUCCAAAGAAAGUCUAAACUAUCAUAGAUUAGAAGAUUCCAAAAAUAAUAAGAAGUGUAUAAUUUUUUUUGGACUUUGUUAAUUACUAUUAGAUCUUUAUCAAGAUUUGUUUUUUCAAGUUGCAGUCUCACUUAUAUAUUUGAUUUAUAAAAAAAAAAUUUAGUAGAAUAAAGAAACCGAAGUAUUGUUUAAUGCUUUAAAGAAGGGCUUUACUUUUGUACCAAUCUUAUAUCAUGUUGACUUUUCUAAGGCAUUUUUCAUGGAAACAAAUGUAUUAAAUUUUGCCUUAGAUGUAGUAUUGUCAAAAAUAAGUAUAGAUGACAAAUUCUAUCUGAUAGCUUUUUAUUUCAAGAUUUUUUUUGAAACUAAGAUUAAUUAUGAGAUCCAUCAUAUAGAGCUCUUUACAAUCAUGGAUUCAUUUUAAUAAUAUGAUUAUAAUUUAGAAGGCAACUUGAGUCUAGUCAUCGUAUAUACAAAUCACAAGAAUCUCAAGUACUUCAUGUUGGUAUGUAUUUUGAAUUAUUACCAAGCUUGUUGGUGCAUAUUUUUAUCAAGAUUUGAUUUUAAUAUUACUUAUUGAUCCAAAAAACAUGAUUUUUUGGACGUCCUUUUUAGACAUUCUUAUCUUAUAUCAAAAGAAGGAGAUGUAUCCUUUGAUCAACAAAGAACAAUUUUCUUGAAGUUGGAGCAUUUUUACCUUUGAGCAAUAAAAUUAAUAUUUACAAUUGAUUUAUUUUUUAUUAAGUAAAUUCAAUUAAGUAUAUCUUUUGAUUUUCUUAUUCAAGAUAUCAAAAAUACCUCUUCUAAAUCUUAUGAUACUUCUAAGUUUGAAUUCAAAAACAACCUAUUUUAUUUUGAAGGAUGAUUAUACAUUCCAAAAGAUGGAGCAUGAUUAUGUAUUCUUCAAAUUCAUUAUGACUUUCUAGCAGUUGAAAAUUUUGAAUAUAACAAGACUUUUGAACUAAUAUCAAAAGAUUUUUAAUAGCCUACAAUGUGAAAGGCAAUUAAAGACUUUGUACAAUCAUGUGAUAUUUUUUAAGAUUCAAAACUCCUUGCUAUUAACCUUAUAGACUUCUUCACUUGAAACUUAUUUUGGAACAACCAUAGUCUUCUAUUUCUAUAGAUUUUAUCAUUGAUCUUUCAAUCUUAAGUUUGUAUGAUUUUAUAUUUGAUAGUAGAUUAUUUUAUCAAGAUGAAUUAUUUUGUAUUAUAUACAAAAUAUAUCAUAUGUGAAAAAAUAACUAAGCUUUUUCUUGAUAAUAUCUAUUUUUAUCAUAGAUUAUAAAAAAAUAUUAUAUUAAAUAGGAAAACUCUAUUUGUAUCAAGAUUUUAGAGAGGCAUUUUUAAAAUUCUAAAGGUGGAUAAUAUGCUCUCUUUGUCUUUCCAUCUUCAAACUGUUGGAGAAACAAUAUCAUGUAAUAAUAUGAAUAUAUGGUAAAAAAUAAAAAAAUGGAUGUUAUUAAAGAAGAAUCUAGUAAAAACAUGUAAUAAAUAAACAAAGUUAAAUGAUAGGAAGGUAAUAAAAGGUUUAGUCUUAAUGCUACCUUUUAAAGAAGGAGCUUCUAUUUGCUUUGUAGAGGCAUAAAUGCCUUAAAUCAAAGUAAAUGAGAUAAGAAAUUAAUAUAAACAUAUUUAAGAAAAAUUUAUCAAUAGGUUUAAGUAUAAAUUAUCUUAUAUUACUAAAUAUUGAUAACUAAAAAAGACCAAUUGUCUACCUAGGUCUAAAUCAGAUCUUAAGGCACAAAAUCCGACAUCUACAGCAAUUCUAGGGUUCUUUGGAAGAUUGAAGAGUGCAAUUUGAGAGUAAACUUGCAAAGAAAAUUUUAGGCAUUGAUUUUAUGUCAAUCAUGUUAAUAUUUAGUUUUUGGAGGAUUUUCAAAGUUAGUGAUGUUCUUGAUUGGUUUAGAUUUUGAGAAGUAAAAUUGUGUUUACACAUUUGAGGGUUUCUUGAAUUUUGUGGUAUAUAUACAAUUAAAUUUUGGAUAGAGUAUGGGUAUACUAGUUAUAAAUGUGUGCGAAAAUUUCGAGGUCAAUUAAAUAGGUGUAUCAAAAAGUGUGAAGGUUUUUGUGGAUUGAGGUGUCAAAAAUUGGAGAUUGAAAGUUAAUGAGUAUUUUUAAGUUCUUUAGAAAUUUGCUAAUUGGAUUGAAGUGAUUUUUUUUGUAUAAAGAUAAGACUUGAUAUUCAAUAAUUUAGGUGAAUUUUAGAAGUAAUUCAAUGGCUCAAGAAGGAGAUAUUGGUAGUAGAAGUUCAAUAUUUAGAUUGGAGUAAGAGGUUAGUUAAUAUUCAAGCAAAAUUUAAGAUUGAUCUUUUAAUUGAUAAGUUCAAUCUUCUUCUAGUUUUUUGUGCUUGUUGCCAACUUAAUUAUUGUGAGGUGUUUAAAAUCUUAAGCGAGAUCAAUGAUACAACUAAUGGAUAUUGACAUUCUAAACUUCUUAAGGAUUAGGUUAAUUUGACUAGAGUUUGAUUAGGAUUUAGGAUUUUUUUAAGAUUUAAGAUUAUUUAAGAUUAAUUAAAAUUUGACUUAAUAUUUAAUUAAAAAAUACUAGAAAUUUAAUUAGUAUUAAAUUAAAAUUUAAGUAGAAUUUAUUUAAAAUAUAUUAAAGAUUUAAUUCUAAAACUUUAUUUGAAUUUUUUCUAGGAUUUCUUCAUGUUCCUUUUGUAAUUUCUUUAAGAUUUCUUUGGAUUUGAUUGAAGCUUGAUUAGCAUUGUUAAGGUUUAAUUGGAGUGACAUAGGAUUCUAUUAGAAUUAGAAUCUUAUUGUUGCAUAUUUUUUUCUAUCUUUCAUAGCUAAGUGCUCGUUGCAUUCUUAUGCAAGGUUCCAUGUAAUACAACAACAAAGUGGAUGAAUCAAAUUCUUAAGUAGUAUUUGAGGUAUACCAUCAAUUAUCAUUCAGAUGAUUGGACAAUUUUUUUGCCAUUGGUAAAGUUUACAUAUAAUAAUUUAAUAUAUUUUUCUAUUCAAUAAAUACUUUUUUUUGCCAAUUAUAAUUAUCAUUGAUAACUUAAUAUUUUUAAAUUUGAAAAAAUUAAUAAACUUAUUGCAAAAGAUUUAAUAAAUUAUUUGUCAAAGCUACAUGUAAUAAUGAAGGUGCACUUCAAAGAAGCUUAAGAACAACAAAAAAUCAAUGGGGAUGCCUAUUGCAAAGAACAACCACAAUUCAAUAUGGAUGAUAAGCUAUGGCUACUUUGUCACAAUAUCAAGAGUACUUAUUCUUAUGACAAGUUGGACUAUUGUAGGCUUGGAUUUUUUUUUUUUUUUUUUUUUUUUUUUUUUUUUGUGAACAAAUCAAUCAUGUUGCUUAUUAGUUAUAUCUUUUGAAGUGUAUGAAGAUUCAUAUCAUAUUUCACGUAUCUCUUCUUGAGCUAUAUAAGACAAUUAAUAUUUUGAGAAGAAGACAAAUGCCAUCUCUUCUUAUAAAAAUAGAUAAUAAUCAAAAUUUUGAAAUAGAAGAAGUCUUAGAUUCAAGGUAAUAUCAAAAUAAAUUAGAACAUUUUGUUCAUUAAUAUAGAUAUGAUAUUAGUAAAUGCACAUGACAGCCAACAAAGAAUCUUGCAAAUACAAUAAAGAAAGUUGAAACUUUUUAUUGAAAAAAUCUAUCAAAAAUCAAAAUAAAAAAUUGCAAGAUCCAUGAAAGAUAAUGAUUGCUCUUUGUGGAAUUCAUUUCUAGAAGAAGAAUUAAUAUAAUAAAUAUGUAUACUUAUUAUAAUAUUUAUCUAUAUAAUUAAAUAGAAAUAAAUAAAAAUAGAUUUAUUUCAUAAUAUUUUAGAGCUGCUUCUUAGAAGCUUCAUAGAUGUUGUUUUGAUUUUACAUAUGUUUGUAGUUGAUUGGUAGGUUAGAAACUUGAUCAACAAGUUAACUACAUAUUAUUAGCUUGAAGAACAAGCUAAAUAUGUAGCGUAUAUAUAAAAAAUUUAAUUUUUAAGUUAAGAUAUGUGUCUGAUAAAGUCAACAUGUUUUGGAGGUUCUAUAAGACAUUACCAUGUAGCUCCUAGUUAAGAGUAUAUGUAGAGGCAAGAAUGAAUUUCACUCUUUUCAAUGCCUUUUUAGUCGUUAGUCUUAUUUUAAGAAUUUCUAGUUUUCUUGUCUUUGAUAAUAACCAUUUUAGUUUAAUACUAUAUCAUCUUUGAAUGAUUUUCUAGUUUUUUCAAGUAACACAAGAGUGUAUUGAAAUUUUAGUUCUUUGAGGUUCAUAUCUUUGAAAGAUAAUUGCAAUGUCUUGUCUUAUAAGUUAGUAAAAAAUACUUUUUGAGUUGAAUCUGCUAGCUAUUGGUUCUUUAUAUUAUUAAUACUAGUUAUACAAAGAAAUUGUAAUAAAAGAUAGAAGAUGGAUUACAAUCUCCAUUGAACUUCUUUUCUUUUAUAGCAAAUAUUUUUUUGAUUCUUUAUUUUAGUUUUGAUAGAUUUCAUUGAUAAAAAGUUUUUACCUCUUCUAUUAUAUUUGCAAUAUUUUUUGCUAGCUUCCAUGUAUAUUUAUUAAUAUUAUAUUUGAGCUAAUGAAUAAGAUAUUUUAACUUAAAUCAAUGCCUCCUUAAAUUUAAAACUUUUUUAACUUCAAAUUCUUAAAUAUUAUCUAUUUUUAUUGAAAGUGGUAGCAUUUAUCUUCUUUUGAAGAUAUUUACUAUCUAAUAUGACUUAAGAAGAGACAUCUGAAAUAUGGAAUGGAUCUUCAUAGACUUUAGUAGUUAUAAUUGAUAAGAAAUUAGAUUGACUUGUGCAUAUAUAAAAAAUGGUCAAGUUUAUAAUAAUCCAACUUGUUGGAAGGACAAAUAGUUUUCAUAUUAUAAUAAAAUAAUCAUACUUUAUUAUUAGUGUAGAAUUGAGUUUGUUCCUUAUAAUAGGUAUUAGCAUUGAUCUUUUGUUAUUCUUGAGCUUCUUUUAGUUGUGCCUUAAUUGUUGUAUGUAACUCAAAUAAAUAAUUCACAAAAUUUUUAGUCAAAAGAUUAUCAACUUUUGAAAUAUCAAAAAUAUUAAAUUAUGGAUGAUAAUUAUAAUUAGUAAAUAAAGAUGUUUAUUGAAUAGAAGAAUAUAUCAUAUUAUUAUGAAUAAAAUUUACUAAUGGAAAAAAAGUUGUUUAAUUAUCUUAUUGAUAGUUAAUAGUACAACUUAAAUAAUUUUUUAAAAUUUAAUUUACUUGCUUUUUUUGUCCAUUAAUUUCAUGAUGAAAAGCCAAAGAUAGUUUUAUGUAAAUCUUUAAAAUCUUAAAAAUAAUUCUUUAAAAUCUACAUACGAAUUGAAUUACUAUAUGUAAUAUAAUAUUAUUAGAUAAUCCAUGAUAAUAAUAGAUAUUAUUAAUAAAUAGCUUAGUUAUUAUUUCACCUAUGAUAGAUUUUUUACAUUGUAUAAAAUGUGUCAUCUUGAUGAAAAGAUUUACUAUUAUAAAUAUAAAUUCAUAAAAAUCUAAGAUUAAAAGAUCUAUGAUAAAAUCUAUAGAAAUAAAAGACAAUGGUUGUUUAAGAAUAGAUAAUAGUUGAGAUAGUCUAUAAGGUCAAUGACAAGGAGUUUUUGAUUUUGAAUAAACGUCAUAUAAUUAUAUAAUUUUUUUUGACUACCUUUCAUAUUUGAGGCUAUAAAAAACCUUUAGAUAUUAGCUCCAAAAUAUUAUUGUAUCCAAAAUAUCAUGCUAUAAGAAAGUUAUGACAAGCUUAAAGAAUACAUAAUCAUACUUCAUCUUUUAGAAAAUAUAAAUACCUCUCAAAAUAGAGUAGAUUUUUUUAAAAUUCAAACUUAAAAGUAUUAUGAGAUUUUGAAGAAUUUUUCUUAAUAUUAAAAAUAAGAGGAUUAAAAAAAUAUUAUAUUAAACUUGCUUAAGAAAAAUUGAAUUAAUAGUUAGUAUUGAUUUCAUAUCAAAGACAAGAAUUUAAUAAAAAUAAAUAACUAAGUGAGACUUUUUCUCAAAGAAGUAUGAAAAAAUAGAAGUAAGCAAAUAUGUAUAUUAAAAAAAAAUUGGAAUAACUAUUGCUAAAAGAUAAAAAAACUAAAGACUCUUAAAUCUAGACUAGAGCAAGAAAUGAGUUGAGAAGACUAAAGAAGGCUUUGUUUUUGCCUCUAUAUAUAUUAUUUACUUAAGAACUAUGUCAUGACAUUGUCAUAUUACGUGUUGUCUUGUCUAGGAAUGCAUCGAGCAUCUAACUAUGGAAGGUGAGGUUGUGUUUCAUAAGUAUCUAAAAAAUCUUAAUAGCUUUCACUCAUAUGAAAAGAAUAUAAUCUGAAUUUCAAUCCAAAAGUGCUAAAAAAUACUCUUUUUAGUAGUCUUAAUCAUACAUAAAUUCCAAUUGCCUUGUUACUUUCAUAUUUAAGCAAUUUAGAUUUUUUUUAUAAACCCCUAUUCUAAUCAUUGAGCUUUAACAAGCUUUAACAUCUAAUUUGACCAUCCACUUGAUGCAAAAUCUUGCAUGCAAUUGUUAAUGUAAGUCUUCUAUAUGCUCGAGAAUUUUCAGCCCAAUCCAACUUACAAAUUGUAAGGAAACCUCCAAAAAUUGCACUGAUGUCACUCGGCUGCCAACUUGAAAAGUGAAGUAAAAAUCCCAAUAGUGAUUUCUCCUUCUCCAACCGUUAACUUUGUCUCAAAAUUGGUAUGCACCUUGAUCUUUAAGUCUUUCAACACCAAGCCAAAUUUCAGCUUGAUCGGAUUGGUAGAUCUUUAGAUAUCACAAAAAUCCUACCCAAUCCCAAACUGCCAACUUCCGAAAUCCUCUUGUGCUAAAAACUAGAUAUAUCUAAACCAUGCCAUUAGAUUAUCACAAAAUUUUGUAUACACUUAGCACAUCCAAUAAUCCAAAUAAUAUUAAAUUUUGAACCAUAUAUACUAUAUUAAUUGCAUGAACUAGCCAAAAUUACUAGCCAUAAUUAUAUUAUAUAAAAUCCAAAUCACCCAUAUAAACCUUGACUUUGAACAAUGAUUGCUAAGUCCUCAAAAACCUUCCAAAAACCACCUUUAUGCCUUUGAAAAGAGCUUCAAGCUAGCUCUCAAAUCUUAACCUCUGAUCUUCAAAUGAAUCCCUAUUUUGCCCUAGGCUAUUGUUUUAGUGGCUAGAGAUCUGAUUUUGACCCUGUCUCACAAAUGGUCGAUCCUCGGGUAUCAAUUUAACCUAUCCUAAGCAUUUUUUAGCCCAAUCCUAUUUUCAACUUAACCUUAGUACCAACUGUACUAAUUAUUUUCCUCUUCUAAUGUUAUUUUAUUAAUUUAUCAUCUUUCUAAGAUAGUAGAAGAGUCUCUACAAUCUAGAAGGUAAAAUUACUAAAUAACCUUCAAUCCACUAACUAUUAAGAUAAGAAAAUAACCUAAGAGGCUUUUAUUAAAGCCAUAUUUAGAUACCUCAAAUUAUAAUUAAACUAAGAUAAUUAGAUAUUAAUUAGAAAUUCAAUUUUGAUUAUAAUUGCACUAUAUAGUUGUAUUACAUCAUGACAACGUUCUAAAGGACCUUCAAUCUAUAGACUUUGGAAGCCACAUGUCUUAAUUUGCAGGGCAAGUUUUUUAUGUGUAUACUACAUUGUUAGCUUGUUCGAGAAGCUAUUCAAAUGUGUGAUACAUGAUUAAUUUUUUGACUAAGUUUUUAACUUCAAAGUCAACUAUAAAUACAUGUAAAGUCAAAAUAAUAUCUAUAAAGCUUCUACAAAGUUUUUUUUAGAAGAUAUCAUAAAAUUAAUCUAUUUUUAUUUAUUUCUAUUUAAUUAUAUAGGUAGUUAUUAGAAUAAAUAUGUAUAUCCAUGAUAUUAUCUCCAUUUCUAAGAACGAGUCCCACAAGGCAUGGUCAUCAUAUAUUAAAAAAAUCUAAGAUACAACAAAUUAUGUUUGCCACAUAAUCUGAACUUUAUUUUCUUUAAAGAUGAUUGAUGGAUCUUCUUAGCCAUUGAUAAUAUCUCUAUAUAAAGGUGAAAAGACCACUUUUUUUAUCUAAUCUCUAUUGAUGCCUUCAUAACUUCCUUAAAAUAAAAUAUUUAAAAUAUUAUCGAGAGUUAUUCUUACCUCUAAUAAAAUCACUAGACAUUGGAAGUCUGUUCCAAAAUUAUGAUAUUAAAUAUAUUAUAUCUUGCCAUCUAUUCAAAGAAGAAUAUAUCGUUCUUGUAGAUCUUCAUCUUGAUUACGUCAUCUUGAAGGUUAAGACAAUUAUAAUGUCUUAUUUUACAAAUUAGCAAAUGAUAGAUAUUGAAUUGAAUCUACUGGUUGUUAGUUCUCUAUCUCUUUAGUGUCAAAAUAUACAAAGAAGCUACCAAAAAAAAUAUAAUAUAGAACAUUAUCUUCUUUUUAUCUUGUUUCUUUUACAGUAAAGAUUUUCUAUUCUUUAUAUAGGUUUUGAUGGAUGUUGUUGAUGAAAAGCUUCCACAUUUUUUGUUGCAUUUACAAGUUUCUUUGCUUGCUGCCAUGUGUGUUUAUUAAUAUCAUAUCCGUGCCAAUGAACAAGAUAUUCUAACCUAUUUUGGUACUGCUUUCAAUCUAAGACUUUUUCAAUCUCAAUUUUUUUUUUUUUAUUAUUCACUUCUAUAUGAGGAGGUUGUACACGUUUUUUUUUUUUUUUUUUUUUUUUUUUUUUUUGUAUAUUCAUUAACUUGUAUGGUUCAAGAAGAGACAUAUUGUUGUUAUGUAAUAUGAUUAUAUAAUAAAAAUAUAAUUAAAAUUAAAUUUCUAAUUAUUAUCUCAUUAUUUUGAUCCAAUAAUAAUUUAAGCUAUUUAAACAUGGAUUUUAUAAAAGCCUUUUAGUUAAUUUUUUUGUCUUAAUAGUUAAUAGGUUAAAGGUUGGUUAAUGAUUUUACCUUCUAGGCUAUAGAGACUCUUUUAUUGCCUUAAAAAGACCAUAAAUUACUAAGAUCAAGUUAGAAGAGAUAAAUAAUUAGUAUGGUUGAUACUAAAUUUAAGUUGAGAAUAGAAUUGGAUUAAAAAACUCCUAAGAUAGGUUAGAUUAAUACUUGGGAAUUAAUCAUUUGUGAGACAUGGUCAAAAUCAAACCUUUAGCUACUAAAAUGAUGACCUAGGAUAAAAUAGGAUUUCAUUUGAAGAUUGGAGAUUAAGACUCAAUAGCUAGCUUAGAGCUUGUUUUGAAGAUGCAAGGCUCGUCUUUGUAGGGUUUGAUAGGACUUUGCAAUUGUUGUUCAAAGACAUGGUUUAUAUUGACAAUUUGGGAUUUAUGCAAUAUAAUUAGGGCUAGCACUCUUAGCUACUUUAUAAAAUUGGUAUCACAUCUACAAUUCAAAAUAUAAUAAUGCUUUGUUAAUUAAGUGUACUAAGUAUUUGUAAAAUUUUGUGAUAAUCCAAUGGUAAAAUUGAGAGAUAUUUGGAUUUUGGUAUAAGAAGGUAUCAGAAGUUGGUAGUUUCGAAUUGAGUAGGAUUUAUGUGAUAUCUAAAGAUGUACUAAUUGAAUCAAAGUAAAAUUUAGCAUGGUAUUAGAGGACUUGAAGAUCAAGCCAUAAAUCAACUUCUAAUUAAAGUUAAUAAUUGAAAAAGGAGAAAUAAUUGUUGAAACAUUUGCAUCAACUUUCAAGUUGUUAGCCAAAUAACAUUAGUGUAGUUUUUGGGUAAUUUCUCAUAAUCUGUAAGUUGGAUUGAGAUGAAUUCUUUUUAAGUACAUAGGAGAUUUAUAGUAGUAUUUGUAUACAAAAUUUUACUUCAAGUGGAUGGUUAAAUUAAGAGCUAUAGCUUACUAAUUAGGAUUAAGAUUUGUAAAAAAAAUAAAUUCAAAUUUACCUAAUUAUGAAAGUAAUAAGGCAAAUGGAAUUUAUAUACAGUUGAGAUUACUAAAAAGAGUGUUUUUAAGUACUUUGUAUUGAAUUUAAGAAAUUUUGAAUUAAAUUUCAAAUUCCAUUCUUCUUAUGAAAGUGAUACAUAUUAAGAUUUUUGGGUACGUAAAAUACAAUCCUACCUUCUAUAGCCAAAUGCUCGAUGCAUUUUUAAACAUGAUGACACAUAAUACUAUAUAAGUGGUGAACUUGGCAUGAAAGUUUGGAGUAGAAGGUAUUGGAUUGUAUUCAUGGUUAUUUAAAAUUGAUGGCACAAGAAGAUAAUAAGGUUGAAUUUGGAGUUUUUGAUGGACCUUUGGAUGGAGCUUCAAGUGGAUUUUCUAUCGAUGAACAAGGUAUGUACUUUGUUCUAAACACUACAUAUGCUUCCAAAAUAUUUCAAGUAUUUACAUUAUUUUUACAAUAGCAACAGAACAAUCAUCGCAAAGAGGCUUUGGCAAGCAAAGCAUGGCAAGCAGUGAUUAACAAGGUUGAUUAAUUUGAUGGGAGGGAUAUUUCUAAAUAUUUAAGAUCUUAUAUGCAAAAAAUAAAAUUGAAUCAUAUUUCUAAAAAAAGAGAUGAUUCAAUUAUUUGAAUUUACUAUGAUAUCAAAGAUAAGGGAGCAUAUAAGAUCUAUUAUGGGGCAAUUUGGAAGUUUAUGAGAGGUAUUUUUACAUGCGUUGAAGGAUGAGUAUUUUUUGGAAGAUACUGAUCGAGUUACUAAGAAAUCAUUCUUUGAAUGGAUUAAAAAACCUAAUAAGAAUUUGCAAGCUACAAAAUUAUUAAAAGAAUUUGAAAGGUAAUUUUUUUGAUUAUUAAAAAUAAAAAAGUUAACAUUGGGACCAAACAAAGUUAAUUUUUUUCUUCGAGUUGCUAAUGGAAAAUCAUAAGAGAAGUUAGAGGUUCUUCUUGAAGAUAAGGGUAUUUCACCACAGGAGAAUAAAUAUGAUUUGGUGCAGCUAUUGAAGCAACUCCAAUUAUUUCUAUAUCUUUGCUUCUUGCCAUUUUUGUUACUCCUUGUAGUAAUAAAUUAAGUUGAUGCAUCCUAAUUAUUAGUUCUUUCAAUUGUUCUUGCAUUUAUGCCAUUAGAGUCUUUAUUUUAAGAAGCUUUGCCAUGAUAACACUUAGAAAAGUAAAGAUGUCUAAUAUUCCUUAAGACAAAUAGAAGAAAAGACUUGAGAAAAUAUUAAUGAUAAUAUUAAUUUAGAAAAAUAUAAUUUAUAACUUCUAAUAUGCUUAUAUUUCAUAAAGAAAAAAAAUAAUUAUUCUUAAUUAAGAAAAGAUAAAGCUUUGAUAUUAUAAAUAUAGUCUUAUUAAUCUAUUAAAGAUAAGAAAUUAAUAAAAGCAAAUAAUCAAGUGAGACUUUUUUUAAAGAAGUAUGACAAAAUAAAAAUAAAGAAGCAUGUAUAUUAAAAAAAUUUGGAAUACCUAUUGUAAAAAGACAAGAAAACUAAAGACUCCUAAAUUGAAAUUAAAGCAAGAAAGAAGUUGAUAAGAGUGAAGAAAGCUUUAUUCUUCCUUCUAUAUAUACUAUCUAUCUAGGAGCUAUAUGAUAAUAUUCUAUAGGACCUUCAAUAUAUAUUGACUUUGCAAGCUACAUGUCUUAAUUUGUAAUGCAAGUUUUCUAUAUGUACACCACAUAAUUAGCUUGUUCUAUAAGCUACUCAUACAAAUGACACAUGGCUAAUUUGUUGACCAAAUUUCUAACCUAAAAGUCAAUUAUAAACAUGUGUAAAAUCAAAAUAGUAUCUAUAAAGCUUAUAGAAAGUUUUUUUAGAAGAUAUUAUAAAAUUAAUCGAUUUUUAUCUACUUCUAUCUAAUUAUAUUGGUAAUUAUUAGAAUAAAUAUGUAUAUUUGUGAUAAUAUGUUCCUAACAUUUUAUUGCUCAAAGAAGAAAUUAUUCUAAUUUUAAGAUUUUUUUUCUUCUUAUUGAUCAAAAUUUUUUCAUUACCUUCUUUUGAUGCAAGUUAAGAUUGUCUAAAAAGAGUUUUUAACAAUUUUUGUUAUUUUCUUGGUUAAUAAGUAAAUUUAAAUUCAAAUCUUGAUAAAAACAUGCUUUAAUAAGCUUAGCAAUAAUUUAAAAUACUUGCUAAGAUAAAAUAUUCAAGAUUCUUAAGAUUCAUAUAUAUAGUGACUAGUCUAAAAGUACCUUCUAGAUAAUAGUACCAUUCUUUAAAUAAAUCUAUAAUUAUAAGAUUUUUUUUUUAAAUUGUUUUAUUUUAGAUCUUAUAAUUGAUCUUAGUUGCUAAAAUUUAUUUUGAAUAAAUAGCUAUUGAAUGAAGUUUAUUAUUUAUUCCCAUUUGUAAUAAUAUGAUACUUAAAGCAAAUUUUGAUGCAUUUGUUUCCAUAAAGAAUGGCUUAGAAAAGUUGUUAUAAUAUAAAUUUGGUGCAAAAAUAAAGAUUAUCUUUAAAGCUUCAAAUUUUUUUUUGGCUUCUUGAUUCUACUCAAAUUUGUCUUUACAAGUCAAACAUGUAAAUGGAGCUAUAAUUUGAGAGAAAUUCUUGAUAAAGAUUUGAUAGUAAUUGAUAAAAUUCAAAAAAAAUUAGACAUCUUUUAUUGUUUUUGAUAGAUUCUCUUAGGAUUCAUUAUGAGUCCAUUAUUUGAAAUGAUAUAUCUUAAGACGUCAACUUGUGUAGUUUAAAAUAUAUACUUUUUUUUAUUUUAGUAUAGAAUUCUAUAUCUUUUGAUUUUUGUUAGAUAUAACAAACACAAAUUUAAUGUUCUUUUGUAUUCUUAGAAUAGAUUAAGAUGUUGUAAAAAAAAAAAUAACAAAAUAAUCUGAACACUUUCAAAAGAUAUCAGUCAUUAAAUAUUAAAAAGAUGUUCAGAUAUUUGUAAGUUUAAAAAUCAUGACAUUACAUUCAAAAUAUCCAUACUUACCUUAAAAUAUAAUAUUUCGUUUAUCUCCUUCUUUGAUGCAUAUCAAAUUUUAUGCUCUUUUUAAAUCUAUUUUAGUAUAAAUCUUAGCUUGAUUCAAUUGAUAAAAAAAUAUAAAUAUCAAAGAUAGUUUUGACAUCAUAUUAUAUCAUUUGCUAUUAUUGAGAUGUAGCUAGAAUGGUGAUUAUUCUAAUUGUAUUUCAUCUUAUGACAAAAGCAAAUGUUUCAAAAAAAUCUUCCUCUCCUUGAUGUUCAAAUUCUCUUAUAACCAAUUGAGUUUUGUAUUUCUUAGGAAUUUCUUUAGUUCUUGUCUUUUUUUUUAAAAGUCCAUAUACAUAUUAUAAGCUUCUUUUAUUAAUCAAUAAGUCAUAUACUUUCUAUAUAUUGGUUUUUUUUAUAUUUUGAAUUUCUUCUUCAAUAGCUUCAUUCCAUUUCUCUUUUUUACUUUCUUCAAAAUAAUCUAUAUGAUCUUCUUUGAUAUAUGCACUUAAUAGUCAAUUAUCUCAAAACUUAAUAGAAGAUUGUUUAUACUAGUUUAUUCUUCUUCAAACUAAGAAUUGUCUAGCUUCAGAAGGAGAAGCAAGUGAUACUAGUAAAUGUGUAAUAGAAGAUUAUUUUGUUGUUUCUAAUGGUGUUUGUGGAUGAAAAAAUAAGUGUUAUUUUCAUGUUUUAAUAUUUAUAUUCUUAAUUAUCUAUUAUUGGCAUAGAAUCUUCACUUAUAUUAUUGGCUAAAGUAAAAAAAAAAAACUUCAUGAUCUUCACCAUCGUUUUUAUUUUUAAUAUUUUAAUAUCUAAUUUUUGAUUCAUUAAAAAUGACAUCUCUACUAAUAAUAUAUACAUAUAUAUAUAUAUAUAUAUAUAUAUAUAUAUAUAUAGGAUUAUAAACACAAUAGAUCUUAUUAUUGGAGUCAUAACCAACAAAUAUGUAUUUUUUUAUUUUACUUUAAAGUUUCAAAUGUAACUUCUUUGGAAUAUAAAGAUAGAUAAUACAACCAAAACUUUAUAUAUGGUGUAUAUUAUGUUUUUUUUUUGUAGUAUAAUUUGAUAGGUAUUUUUUCAUUGUUAGCAUUUACAAAGUAUAAAUUUACAAGAUAAUUUGUGAUAUUAAUAGCUUCAAGCCAUAGAAUUAAAGGCAAUUUACUAUCAUAGAAUAGAAUUUUGGCUUUUUCAACAAUAGUUUUGUUGCAUCUUUCAACAACACUAUUUUGCUAAGAGGUUAAUGCUUGAAUAAAUUGUCUUAUUAUGCCAUGUUUUUUUAUAAUACUCUUGAAAUUCUUGUGAUAAGAAUUUACCUCUUUUGACUAUCUUUAAUGUCAAAAAUUUCUCACAUAUUUUUUUUUCUAUUUAUGCUUUGAAUAUGCAAAAUAUGGAAAAUAUUUCAUCUUUAGACUUAAAAAAAAUAUAUCCAAAUUUGUUAAGAAUAGUCAUUAAUAAAAAUAUCAAAGAACUUAGUACCACUUAUUGAAGGUUCAGAGACAAGCCCAAUUAAAUCAACAUCAAUUACUUGUAGAGGUUUUUUGGAUCUAUUGAAGCUCUAUUUAGGAAAAAAAUUAUGUGUUGGUGAUUUGCAUUAUAUGAUUUGCAUAAUGUUUUUGAGAUGGUAUCAAGAGAAGGUCAUCCUUUAAUUCUUUUUUUUAUAUAGAAUUAUUUUAAGCUUAAAUAUUUUAGAUGUUUAAAUCUAUUAUACUAUAGCUUUGAUUUUUUUAUAAUAGAAUAAUUAACUUUUAAUGUAGUUUAAUUGAUACAAUACAAAUCAUAAAAAAGUUCUCAAAAUUCAGUAAGAAUAAUACUUUGUUCUCCACUUUCAUCAAUAAUCCAAUACUUAUCAAUUGAAAAAAUCAUGAUAUUUCCUUUUUGUAUAAGAGAAUCCAUUGACAAUAAGUUUUUCUUUAAAGAAUGUACAAGUAAAAUAUUGCUUACAUUCUUUAGAUUUCCAUUAUCAAUUUUUAUCAUAAUCUCUUUUUGUCAUGAUAUAUUAUGUAGCUCAUAUCCAAAAAUUCUAAUUUUAUAAAAAAAAUAUUAACUUAAGAAAUUUCAAUGCUAACUUAUUGCUUAUUAUGUAUUUUAAGGCUCUAUUAUCAAGAUACUAAUUGAAGUCUUCAUUUCUCCCUUUUGCACUUAUGAUAAGAUUUUCUUCAACUUCUUUAAAUGUUACUUCUUUUUCAAAGUUUGAUGAAGUAUCUUCAGCUUAAAUGAUGCUUGCUGAGAGUUUGUUAAUGUUUGGUAGUAAUUUUCUAAAUCUACACUCUUUGGCCAUAUGAUUUGGUUUUUUGCAAACAUAGCAAUGGAUCAAAUACACAUCUUCUUUAAAAUAGAAGUUUCUUAUUAUUCCUUGUCCUCUGGAAAAGAAAUAUCUUUCUUUACAAGAUAAGUAAUUUUUUUUUCAUCUUGUAUAUAUCAUAUUAAAAUCUAUUCUUGAAGUUUGUUUAGACAAAUCUUCACUUUCAAAAUUAUCAAUUAUAUUAACUUUCAACUAUAGCUUAUGAGUUUUUGCUAUAAGUUUUGAUGAUAUUUUUUUAAAGCUUGAAAAUUGAUCUACUGAAGUUAAACUAUAUAUUAGACUGUCAUUGGAGGGAAGGAAGUCAUUUAAGUCAAUUUGCACAAGGAUCUUGGUUGGAAAUUUAUCAUUAAGUAUUACAAGCUAAUUUUCAAUUUCUUAUAUUAUCUUUAAAAAUUCUUCUAUAGAGGUAAAGUUUCAAAACUUCAAUGUAGAUAGUUUAUAAUAAAGAUUGAGUACCCUAGUAGGAUCUCCACUUCCAUACUCAUGCUUUAAUGUCUUCUAUGCAUCCACAAGAACUUCAUAGUCUAUCACUAUGUCUACAAGAUAGUCUUUUACAACAAAUGUUAAUAUUUUUAUAGCUUUCACCUUCAUCUCAUGUACUUGAAUCUUUGACAAUGAGUACCUAAUGUAUAUGCAUGGAUAUAUUGUUGGUAAAAACUUCUCAAUGGUGAGGUUCCAAAGACUUUCAACUUACAAGAAAGUCUUUAUCUUUAAGCUCUAUAUAUAAUAGUCAUCUUUUCCAACCAAUUUGUUGAUCUCGCCAAUCUAUUUAGAGCUACUCGACAUUUUUCGAAGCUUCAACAAUUACUUUCAACAAUGCAUGCUUAAAAACAAUUGCUUUCUAGCAAUUAUAAGGUAAUUCUCUUGAAUUCUCUAUUCUUGCUUUGAUACCAUAUUGAAGACUCAAUGUAUAAUGCAUGAGAGAAAGUUGUCUCAUUAUAAGGUUGAUAUCAAUAGACACAAUUCUAUGAUGAUGUGUUUGAAGAUCCUUUCUAUAUACAUGCUAUUUCUCCUUAUGUUCAAACUACAUUCAUGCUUCAAUCACAACGUCUAAUACCCUGACUGUAGUCUGAUAUCCUGAUUGUGCUCUAAUAUCCUAAUUGUGGUCUAUUUUGCAUGGUUAUCAACUUCAUCCAUGUAUGAGAGGGUCUCAAGCAAGUAAGAGAGAAAUCUUAGGUGCCCCUCUUUUUUUGCCAUUAAGGAUGUCACUAAAAAGUUUUACUGAUGGCUAAAGCGUUAUCUCAAGCUAAGUUGAUUGAGAGUAACAAACAUUUUAAGUCAUUUAGUUGAGUUUCAGCCUAGUUUUGAUUUCAUCCUCCUCUUGGCGGAAGCUUCUUCCUCAUAUUGGUAAGGUAAAUGACAUUGAAAGAUUCAGUUGAGAAACGACUGCUGGCAUAUUAAGACUUGGUAAGAUGGUUUACCAUUGCCAGUGCUCCACCUGGGAAUGAAGGCGACCAUGACAGCAAUACUUGGUAAGCCUGGCUUCGAACUAUCUUGAUGGAACCUCUCCCUGAUCGUAGUCUCUUAUCCUGUACUUCACGUUGUGAUGCAGACUCUGAAACCAUCAUUAUUACAUCAAGGUCUUUUGCUCCAGAUUUUUAAUUUGAUGCAGACUCCGUAACGCCUCGGCUAGGAUCAAGCCUCCCCCUCCCUUCCCCGCUCAUGGCAAGCGUUAGGCGAGUUCCUUAUUAUCAUCAAGCUGUUGUGUUCCAAAUUCCGACAUGUAUGCUGUCACCAAUGAAGAAUCAGAUAGAGGUUAACUCGGUCACCUGGGCAUGAUGCAUUUUUGGUCGCGAUUGUAUUAAGUUGCUCCACUAAUGCGGUGACAUGGUGAGGCAGUGGCCAAGCGACUUGUUUAUACCUGGUGAGGCAGCACCCACUUGAACAAUAAUCAGGAUUAGGAAUGAGACAAUAUCAUCUACCCAAUAACCUGACCGCCGCUUCGAAAAAAAAUAAAAAUAAAAAUAAAAAAACUCGAUCCGGUCCUCGUUUCGCUAGCAUCCAGAGGUUGAUAGUAGAGAGGUUGCAGGAUUGUUGCAUGACCAGAUCUGCUUUUCCAAUUUGCAAGUUUAAUCACCGACACGCUCCGGUCGUUCAAAGUCUCGAAGGAUCGGCUGUGGUGAAAAUAGGAUAACAAGACGCCACGUACGCGUCCAAGUGUGAGGCUCUGAGUGGUUGAACCCCACACCUGAAUCCACGUGUGGCCUUGGUGGCCGCACGUUCGAUAUUUGAAUCGGUUAUUUAAACUAUUGGAUGCCCUCACCGAUGGAUGUUUCUUAUUUCAUCCAUCCUUACGUCUAUUGGUGGGGAAUUUUAAAUGUUAGGGUUGUUUUAAAUAUAACUUAGGAUCUCAGUGUUGGUUUGGAGAUUUAUAUUUAGACGCUUUAUAUUUUCAAGAACUAUGUUUUUGGUUGUCAAGUUCAAAUCUGACCUAUUUAAUAUUGUUGUAAGAAUAUCAAUGUUUAGAAAUAGAAGUUUUAAGUAUAAAAGGAAAUAUGUUUGAAAAAAACAGGCUAUUGAAAUAAGUAAAUUAUCAUUAAAAAUACACACAUUUAGAGGUUAGUAGUAAAAAUCUAAAACUAAUUUAUGAUUAUUGAUAAAGUAAUAUAGAAAAAAAAGAAAAAUUAUUGUAAUUUAAUAACUUUGAUAAUACAAUUAGAAAAUAAGAAGUUGACAAGAAAUUAUUAGAAUUUUAAAAAAAGAUUUAAAAAAUAUACAAGUGGUAUUUAUGGUGGUGCAUCAAAUUUCUAUUAUCAUGUUGGUUGUUAAAUCAUAAAAUAUUUUGUAUAAACAAUAGAUUCAAAAACUUCAUUGAGUAGGCAAAUUACAAGAGAAAUUGAGAUUAUAGGACAAAAAUAGAGAAAGAAAAGGUUAAAUAUGAAAGAAAGAGAAUAUAUAUAUAUAUAUAUAUAUAUAUAUAUAUAAAUUAUAAAAAUAAUUGAUUUUAUAUAAAGUUUUUUAAAAAAAAUCCAUCUAUAUAAAGAUAAUUACAUAUCUCAAUGUAUGAAUAAUACAAAUGUUCUAUCCAUACCUUGUUACAGCUAAUGUCAAGGACAAGAACUCGAUGAAAAAGCAAUUCAGACAAGUGAGCCUUCACUCAAAGAAAGGUAAUAAAAUAUAAAUAAACAAAUAUAUAUAUUGAAAGAAAAACUGGAAUGGCUAUUGUCAAAAGACAAAGAAACUAGAGACCCUUGAAACUAGACUAGAAGCAAGAAAGGAGUUGACAAGAGUCAAGAAGGCUUCACUCUUGUUUCUACAUAUACUAUCUAACUAGGGGCUACGUGGGGACGUUCUAUAGGAUCUCUAAUAUGUGUUGACUUUGUAGGACACAUGCCUUGACUUACAAGACAGGUUUUUCUAUGUGUGGGCCAUAUAAUUAGCUUGGUCUUCAAGCUAACAACAUGUGUGGCACAUUGCCAACUUGUUGACCACGUUUCUAAUCCAAAAAGUCAAUUAAAGAUACCUAUGAAGUCAAAGCAGCGUCUAUAAAGCUUCUAGGAAGCUACUAUAUCAAAUACUAUAGAAUUAACUUACUUUUACCUACUUUUACUUACUUCUACAUAUUUGUAUAUGUAAUUAUAAGUAUGUCCAUGACAUUACCUUCCCUUCUAGGGAUGAGUUCCUUGAGGAGUGGUCAUCAUAUGUUGAGAAAAUCUAUCAUACAAUGAAUUGUAUUCGCCACAUACUCUGAUCUUUGUACUCUUCGAAGAUGACUGAUAGGGCAUCUCAACCAUCGAUAGUGUCACAUACCAGGGCGGGAAGACCACCCAAUUAUUUGAUCAUUGUUGAGGCCUUCGUAACUUCCUUCGAAUAAAACAUUUGGAACACCAUCAAGAGUUGUUCCUACCUCUAACAAAAUCACCAAACAUCAAGAGUCCCUUUCCAAGUCGUGAUACCAAACGUGUUGUAUCUCGCCAUCUAUUUGAGGAAGAACAUGUCGUUCUUGAAGAUUUUCAUCUAGAUUGCAUCGUCUUGAAGGUUAAGACAAUCGUAGAGUUUUGUCCAGCAGGUCAGCAAAUGAAGACUCUUAAGUCGAAUCCAUUGGUCAUUGGCUCUCCAUCUCCUGAGCGUCACAACUACAAAGAAGCUACAAACAAGGAUUGAAAGUAGAAUGUUAUCUUGUAUAGAUAUAAAGAAAAUUUUUAUCUUGAUUUUGAUGGAUGUCAUCGAUGAAAAGCAUCUACCACCUUCGAUGCAUUUGCAAGAUUCUUUACUAGCUCUCAUGUGCGUUCACUAAUAUCAUAUCUAUGCCAAUAGACAAGAUAUUUCAAUUUAUUUCGGUGCUACCUUGAAUCUUAGACUUCUUUUACUUCAAACUCUUCAUUAUUAUCUACUUCUAUAAGAGGAGAUAGAGCUUGUCGUCUUCUUGGUAUGUCCACUGUUUUGUAUGGUUCAAGAAGAGACAUGUGGAAUACUAGAUGGAUAUUCAUUGACUCUGAUAGAUGUAAACAAUAUGCAAGUGGAUUGAUUUGUGCAGAAAUAGAAAAUGGUCCUAGCCUUCCAUAGUCCAACUUGUCACAACAACGAGUGAUCUUGAUAUUAUGAUAAAGUAGCCAUAUCUUAUUACCCAAGUAGAAUGGUGGUUGUUCCUUUCGAUAGACAUCGGCAUUGAUCUUUUGUUGUUCUUGAUCUUCUUUUAACUACGCCUUCAUCGUUGCAUGUAGCUCUGACAAAUGAAUUGCUAAAUCUUUUGCAGUAGGAUUAUCAACUUUUGAAAAGUCAAAAGUAUCAAGUCGUGGAUGAUAAUCAUAAUUAGCAAAGAAAGGUAUUUAUUUUGUAGAAAAAUGUACUGUAUUAUUGUAAGCAAACUCUGCCAAUGCCAAAAGAGUUGUCAAAUCAUCUUGUUGGUAGUUGAUGGUACAUCUUAAAUACUAUUCCAAAACUUGAUUAAUACGCUCCAUUUAUCCAUCAGUUUGAGGAUGGAAUGCCGAAGAUAGUUUUAUAUCCACUUUUAAAAUCUUGAAAAGAAUCCACCAAAAUCUUGAUACAAAUUGAGUUCUCCUAUCUGAUAUAAUAUUUUUGGAUAAUCCAUGAUAGUGAUAGAUAUUGUUAAGAAAGAGCUUAGCUGUUUCUUCACCUGUGAUAGAUUUUGUACAUAGUACAAAAUGUGCCAUCUUGGUAAAACGAUCUACUAUCAUGAAUAUAGAGUUAUAAGAAUCUAAGAUUGGAAGAUCUAUGAUGAAGUCCAUAUAAACAAAAGAUCAUGGUUGUUUCUAGAAUGGAUAAUGGCUGAAGAAGUCCAAAAGGUCGAUGACGAGGAGUUUUUGAUCUUGAGCAAACAUCACAUGAUUGUACAAAAUCUUUGACUGCCUUCUACAUUUGAGGCCGCCAAAAAUUCCUAGAUAUCAGCUCCAUAGUCUUAUUGUAUCCAAAAUGUCUUGUUGCUAGGAAGUCGUGAUGAGCUUGAAGAAUACGUAAACGUGCUUCUUCUUUUAGAACAUAUAGGCAUCCUUCAAAAUAGAAUAGGUUAUUUUUGAACUCGGAUUUAGAGGGAUCAUGAGAUUUAGAAGAAUUAUUCUUGAUAUCAUGAAUAAGAGGGUCUGAAGACAUACUUAACUGAACUUACUUUAUAAAAGUUAAAUCAACAAUCAAUGUUGAUUUUAUUGUUCGAAAAUGAAAUUCCUCCGGCUUCAAGAAAACCAUUCUUUGUUGCUCAAAAGUUGCAUCUCCUUCUUUUGGUGCAAGAUAAGAACGUCUAGAUAAGGCAUUGGAUAAACCUUGUUAUUUUUUUAGCCGAUAAGUGAUGAUGAAUUCGAAUCUUAAUAAAGACAUGCUCCAACAAGCUUGACGAUGAUUUAAUAUGCGUGUUGACAUGAAAUACUCGAGGUUCUUGUGAUCCGUAUAUAUGGUGAUUGGACUAUAAUGAAACCAUUCUUGAAAAGAAUCCACAAUUGCAAGAAGUUCUUUUUCAUGGAUCUCAUAAUUGAUUUCUGCUGCUGAGAAUUUUUUUGAAUGAAAGGCUAUUGUAUGAAGUUUGUCAUCUGUUCCCAUUUAAGACAAAAUCGUACCUAGAGCAAAGUCUUAUGCAUUUGUUUCCAUAAAGAAUGCUUUGGAAAAAUCAACACAAUACAAGAUUGCUUGCAGAAAUAAACGAUGUCUUCAAAAAUUUAAAAGCAACUUCCGCUUCUUGAUUCUAUUGGAGUUUGUUUUUAGAAGACAAACGUGUAAGUUGAGCUAUAACUCGAUAGAAGUCUUUGAUGAAGAUCCGAUAGUAGUUGGUAAAUCCCAAAAAAUAUUGGACAUCUCUUACCGUUUUGGGAUCUUUCAAUCUAUAAUAGUUUGAGCUUUCUUAAGAUCCAUCAUAAGUCCAUCACUUGAAAUGAUGUAACCUAAGAAAUUAACUUGCGUAAUGUGGAAUACACACUUUUCUAUCUUAGCAUAGAGUCAUGCAUCUCUUAAUUUUUGUAAACCAUGACGAACAUGAAGUUCAUGUUCUCCUGGAUUUUUAAAAUAGAUCAAGAUAUCGUCUAGAUAACAGACCACAAAAUCGUCCAAAAACUCUCGAAAAACAUCAUUCAUUAGAUGUUGAAAAGCUGCUAGUGCAUUUGUAAGUCCAAAAGGCAUGAUGUUGUAUUCAAAAUGUCCAUAUGUAGUUCGAAACGAAGUCUUCCAUUUAUCUCCUUCUUUGAUGCGUACUAGAUUGUAUGCUCCAUGGAGAUCUAUUUUUGUAUAGAUCUUAGCUUGAUUCAGCUGAUUAAGAAGUCCAAAUAUUAAAGGUAGUGGAUACCUGUUCUUGAUGGUAAUCUUGUUGAGUCCUCGAUAAUCAACACACAUCUGCAAUGAUCCAUCUUUUUUCUUCACAAAUAGAAUUGGAGCUCCUGUCAGAGAUUUAGAAUGGCGUAUGAAAUUCUUGGCUAGAUUUUCUUCAAUAUACUCCUUGAGUUCAAUCAACUCAUUUUGUGAUAAAUUGUAGAUUGGUCCGAAUGGCGAUUGUACUCCUUCUUGAAGAUCAAUUGAGCAAUUAUAGGGACGAUAUUCCGGAAGUGUAUCUGCAUUUUUUUUUUCAAAUACAUCUUAAAAUUCUUGAUAUUGGCUUGGAAUGCAACUUGAAGUCUUUCCACCAGUAUUAAUAGGUGUGGCAUAAAUAAUAUAUGGUGAUUCUUUCAUAGUAGCAUGCAAGAAAGCUUUUGUACCUAUAAACACGGGUUUAAUUGAACUAGACUUAUGACUAUCUACUUGAUUAAUUACACUGUUAACUAUACUUUUAGAGAAAGUAAGAUUUCAAAAAAUCCAAUCUAUUUGAGGAUUGUAUUUUUUUAACCAUGAUAAAUCUAAAAUGACUAGAUUAGAGGGAGAUUUAAUGAUAUUAAAUACUACAAAGCUAUUAUGACUAUUGAUUAUUACUUCUAUAGGAAGGAUUUUGUGAGUAAUAUCUCUAAAAGAUAAUAGACGACCAUCUAUGAUUUCUACAUGAACAGGUUUAGUUUUCUUUACUAAAGAUAUGCUAUGUCUUUUGGUAAAUUCUUCAUCUAAGAAACAUGCUAAGGCUUCUAAAUUUAACAAGGCAGAGGCUUUGUAAUAUUUAGGUCCUAAAAUAAUAUUUAAUAUAAAACAAAGAGAGGGCUCUAAGGAGAGAAUAGGACCUUUACUAGAUGUUGUGCAAGGUUCCAGCCGCACAGUCUCUAUUGUAGCUGGACAAACUCAUUUUCCGACAUAUUAUCUUCUUUCAUAGCCAUAUUUCUUAUUUUGUGGUUGCGUCGUUUCUUUGGACAAUGUUGAGCAGUGUGUUUUGGUUCUUUAUAAUAUAAACAUAAUCCUUCUUGAUGACGACGAGUCUUUUCUUACUUAAUAAGAGAUUUGAAACGUAUUGCAUCAAUUUGCAUAUCCUCUACUUCUGAAUAUAUGUAUUGAAGAGGUGUUGGUGUUGCCAUUGAAUUAUAGUAAUAUUGAGGUCCACUUGUAUAGUUCUCAGAUCAAAAUUCAAAAAGACGAUUGUCACACUUCAUAGCAAAGUCAAUUGCUUAACUCAUUGUUUAAGGAUCAGGUAAGUUGUGCAUUAAUUUUUUUACCUCAUAUUAUAAUCCAUAGAAAAAUUGGCUAAUAAGUGCAGCAUCAUCCCACUAGAUAUCAGUUGCAAGUUAUCAAAAUUGUGAAGUAUACAAUGUUAUUGAUCGAUUUUCUUGUUGUAAAAUACGGAUCUUAUUGGGUGCAACACGAAUUACAUCAUGUUCUCCAUACAUGGAUCAAUACUCCACCAAAAAAGCCUCUAGAUUGUGUAAUAUUGAAUCUCGUUGUUCAAGAAAAGAUGAAAACCACGAUAGUGCUGAAUAUGAAAGAAGAGUAUCAAUGAAUCUAACUUGCGAUCUUGGAGUUUGAUAGCUUUGGGGUUGAAGUUCAAUCACAAGUUGCACUUGAUUGAUAAAUCCUCAAAACUUGGAUCUAGUGCCAUCAAAUUUCUCAAAUAGGAAAAUUCUUAGUUCUCUAAUACUAGAAGGGCGUUCCACCAUAGGAGAAAGGAAAUGAUUUGGUGCAGAUGUUGAAGCAACUCCAAUCAUUUCUAUAUCUUCACUUCUUGCUAAUCUUGUUAGUCUUUGUAGUGGUAAAUUGAGUUGAUGCAUCGCAAGUAUUAACUCCCUCAAUUGCUCUUGCAUUUGUGCCAUUGCACUCUUCAUUUCAAUAAGUUUUGCUAUGAUAAUACUUAGAAAAGAGAAGAUGUCUAAUGUUACUCAAGACAAAUAGAAGAGAGGACUUGAGAACAAAGAAAUUACUAAUGACAAUAUCAGUUCAGAAGAUGAUAAUCCGCAACUUCUAAUAUGCUUAUAUCUUAUCAAGAAAAAGGGGUAAUCCAUUCUUAAUCAAGAUUAGACAAAGCUCUGAUAUUGUAGGUGUACUCUUGUCAAUCUGUCAAGGACAAGAACUCAUUGAAUAAGCAAUUCAGUCAAGUGAACCUUCAUUCAAAGAAAAGUAACAAAAUAUAAAUAAACAAAUAUAUAUUGAAAGAGAAACUGGAAUGGCUAUUGCCAAAAGACAAAGAAACUAGAGACCCAUGAAACUAGAUUGGAAGCAAGAAAGGAGUUGACAAGAGUGAAGAAAGCUUCACUUUUGUUUCUAUAUAUACUAUCUAACUAGGGGCUAUGUGGCAACGUUCUAUAGGACCUCUAAUAUGUGUUGACUUUAUAAGACACAUGCCUUGACUUACAAGACAAGUUUUUCUACGUAUGGGCCAUAUAGUUAGCUUGGUCUUCAAGCUAACAACAUGUGUGGCACAUUGCCAACUUGUUGAUCAUGUUUCUAAUCCAAAAAGUCAAUUAAAGACACCUAUGAAGUUGAAGCAACAUCUAUGAAGCUUCUAGGAAGCUACUAUAUCAAAUACUAUAGAAUUAACUUAUUUUUAUCUACUUUUACUUACUUCUAUAUAUUUAUAUAUUUAAUUAUGAGUAUGUCCGUGAUAGUUAAUCUCCCUCUAUUAAUGCAAAAUCCUUGUGUUGCUCCAAAUGAUAUUUCUAAAUAUUUUUCUAAUAAUGAAUGAAGUUUUGUAUAGGUUCCUACAUUGCAUUGUGGAUAGAAUAACUUUUUUAGAGAACUUUGUACUAAAGUUGCGGAUGUCUAUUGCCAUUGCAAAAAUAGCACUACUCCAAAAGACUAUCCUCUUUAUACUCUCAUUGGUCAUCAAUCAUAAUUGGUGGUGGUGGUCCUAGUUGGUGUCAAUCUAUAAAGCACCUUGAUUCAAUAUGAAACUCCUUCAGUUGCAAAAUAUAGAAGAUCGGAUGGACCCAAAUAUAUGAUAGAAGCUCAAGAUGAUUUGCAACAUUAGAAAUUAUUGUAGAACUGCAAAAAGAUCUAAGCCAUCGAGAUGCUAGCUUACAGACUUAGAUUGAUAUAGCAAGUAGAAGGUUGGAGUUAGAUAGUAAUAUCUUGUCAUCCUCCUCGAAGAUCUUGUAUUGUCGAUGGUUAUCCACAUACUACUUUUAUGAAUUCUAUGCAAUAAAGAAAUAAUAUCAUGUCUCUUGUAAGAUUAUUGUAAAUCGUUCUAUAAAUUCUUCCAUUGUCAAAUUAUUGGUAUCAAUGGGGCAAUGAAGAGUUACUAGCAUAAUUGGAUACUAACUAGUAUUAGAGAAGAAUAGUGAAUGACCAGUACUUACUUGAAUAUUAUCUUUAAAGACAAACUCUAAGGGCAUCAAAUAUUCAUCCUAAUCAUUAUGAUGAACUACCACAAAUGCCUGUAGCAUAUCUUCUAAGAUCCUAUUUGCAUGCUCUAUUUUCCAUCUAUUUGAGAAUGGAAGGUUGUAGACAUGAUAAAUUGUAUAUCUAAUAGUUGGAAUAAGGCUUGUUGAAAACUCCUCGUGAAAUAUGGAUCUCAACAUGAAAUGAUGACAUGAGAUAAUUGAUAAUGACAAAGGAUAAUAUUGAAGAAGAUUUAUAAAAGUGUUGAGAUAUCAAUAUCUCAGCAUCUUAUGGCCAAAUAAAGUUGCUUUAAGAGUCAAUCUAUAAAGAUAGCAAUUACAAUAUAAUUAUGAAGCAUUUACAGUAAAUAUAUAAUAAGAUCCAUAGUCAUUUACUUCAAAUAUGCUAUAAAUAAUAGAAUUGGCUAUAAUAGCCUAAAAGACAUUGCAUUGCAUACUUAAUUAUGCUAGCAUAAUUUACAAGGAUGCAAAAAAGGUCAAACAUCACAAUCCAAACUUGUCCAAAAUCUUGUCUUUGAGAUCUGUGAUAGAUUCUUCUCAUGCCCUAUAUGUCUACAUGUUGGGAUGUCAUAUCUCUUUUGAAAUAUGCAUGUUUAAAAUAUAGUAUUACCAAGCACAUAAAUUUCUUUUUAAAAUAGAAUAAGCGAUCGUUGAUACAAUAAUCUUAAUAUUAUCUAUUUUUUAUAGAUCAGUUAGUAUUUCAAAAUAAGCAUUGUAACACAUAGCUUUCUUUUAUUCCACUCUUCUUGUAAAGUUUGAAAUGACACUUCUAAUUGUAGCAACUUUUGUCUUAUCAUUUGAUUCAAAUUUUAAAUGAGAUUUGCAUGAUAAAGUAUCGGACAUGGUAUAUUGUAGUCCUUGCUUCUAUCCAAGCUGAAUGUCAAAAAGCUAUAAUCAUUCUUCUUGAUGAUAAUGUUGUGAUUCUAUAUUUUUCAGAUACAAAUCAUGUAGUAGGGAUCGAUUGUUAGUCCAAAUAUUCACUGGCUUUUCCAAUAAAUAAUGUUGCUAUACCUUUGUGGCAUGUAUAAUUCCUAGUUGCUCUCGAUCACAUGUAGAAUAAUUAUGCUUUUUCUUUGUGAGUUUGUAUGAUUCAUAUGAUUUAUAUUAAAGGCUCCUAUCAAAGACUUAUUGAAAAAUUAUACCAAUAAUAAAUCCAAAAGCAUCAAUUCCAAGUAUAUAUAGAAGGUCGAAAUCAUAUGAUUUCAAUAUUAGAGUAAUAAUCAGUACCUCUUUCAACUCCUCAAUGGUCUUUUUUUGUUCCAAUUUCCAUUCAAAUGAAAUAUCUUUUUCUAUGAAGCUUGUUAAUGAAGCAGCAACGUGUACAAAUUGCCAAACAAAAUGGUAAUAAUAUCCAACAAGAUUAAGAAUAAGCAGAUUUUAGAUGCAUCUUUGAGAGUUGGUCAAUCUUCCACUACUUUUACCUUGUCUUGAUCCAUACACACACCUUUGGAGGACACUACAUUUUCCAAAAAGGUGACCUUUGACUUCCAAAGUUCACACUUUAAUUACUUAUAAUAGAAACAACUAUCACAUAGCUAAUGUAAUAGUUUUUGUAGAUGUUGCUUAUGCUCCUCAAGGAUUUUAUUAUAGAUUAGGAUAUUAUUAAUGAAGACAACUAUAUACUUUUCUAAAAGGUCCAAAAAUAAUUUAUUCAUAUGAUCUUUAAAAGAAGUUAAAGCAUUGAUAAAGCCUUUAUGUAAGAAUUUGUCUAAUGACUUUUGUAACUAUUAACUUCAAGACGACAAAAUCGAGAUGAAGAUCCUUAAGAACAACAUGUCCUUCCUUCAAUAGAUGGCGAGAUACAACGUAUUUAAUAUCACGACCUUGGAAGAGACUCCCAAUAUUUUGUGAUUUUAUUAGAGGUAGGAACAACUCCUAACGGUGUUCAAAAUGUUUUAUUUGAAAGAAGUUAUAAAGUCCUCAACAAUGUCCAAAUAACAGGGUGGUCUUCUCGCCCUGGUAUAGGAUACUAUAGAUGGUUGAGAGGACCUAUCAACCAUCUUUAAAGAGAGCAAAGAUUGGAAUAUGUAGCAAAUACAAUUCACCGCAUCUUAUUCUUUUUUAACAUAUGAAGACCGCUCCUCAAAGAACUUGUCCUUAGAAGGAGAGGUAAUGUCAUGGACAAAUAUAUAUUUACCUUAAUAGUUACUUAUAUGAUUAAGUAGAAGUAGGUAAAUAUAUAAUAAUUUCAUAAAUUCUUCUAGAGAAGCUUUUUAGAUGCUUCAUAGAUGCGGUUUUGACUUCAGAUGUGUUUGUAGGUUAGAAACUUGGCUAAAAAGCUAAUCAUAUAUUGGUAGCUUGUGGAACAAAUUAUCUCCAUGUAGUAGCUUAUAGAUAACUUUGUAAAAGAUUCUUUGAUGACUCCCAUGUACAUUCACUAAUAUCAUAUCCAUGCCAGUGAAUAAGAUAUUCCAACCUAUUUCGAUGCCACCUUGAGUCUAAGACUUCUUCUACGUCAAACACUUAGUUAUUAUCCACUUCUAUAGGAGGAGGUGGCAUUUGUCUUCUUUCCAAGUUUUUUAGUAUCUUAUACGGCUCAAGAAGAGACACGUGAAAUACAAGGUGGAUCUUCAUAGACUCCACUAAAUAUAAUCGAUAGACAAUAGGAUUGAUUUGUUCACAAAUAAGAAAAGGUCGCAGCCUACGAUAAUCUAAUUUAUCAUAAGGACCAGUAGUCUUGAUAUUACGACGAAGUAACCAUGCCUUAUCAUCCAUAUUAUAAUGUGAUUGGUCCUUGUGAUAGGCAUCUGCAUUGGUCUUUUGUCGUUCUUGAGCUUCUUUUAAUUGUAUAUUCAUUGUUGUAUGUAGCUCUGACAAACGAUUUGCUAAAUCUUUCGCUACAGGAUUAUCAACUUUUAAAAAGUCAAAAGUAUCAAGUCGUGGAUGAUAACCAUAAUUGGUAAAAAAAAGAUGUUUGUUGGAUAGAAGAAUGUAUCGAAUUAUUAUAUGAAAACUCUGCCAAUGGUAAAAGAGUUGUCCAAUCAUCUUGAUAAUAAUUGAUGGUACAUCUCAAAUACUGCUCCUAAAUUUGAUUUACUUGUUUUGUUUGUUCAUCAGUUUGAGAAUAAAAAAUUAAAAAAAGCUUUAUAUUCACCUUUGGAAUCUUGAACAGGGUUCUCCAAAAUCUUAAUAUAAAUUGAGUCCUCAUAUUCGAUAUAAUAUCCUUUAGCAAUCAAUGAUAGUCAUAGAUAUUGUCAAUGAAAAGCUUAACUGUUUCUUCACCUGUGAUAGAUUUUGUACAUAAUACAAAAUGUACCAUCUUAGUAAAAUGAUCUACUAUCACGAAUAUAGAGUCAUAAGAACCUGAGAUUUUAAGAUAUCAAGAAAAUGCUCGAGCUUCAAGAAAAUUGAUCUUUGUUGAUUAAAAGAUGAAUUUCCAUCUUUUGGUGCAAGAUAAGAACGUCUAGAAAGAGUAUCCAAUAGACCUUAUUAUUUUUCGGAUUGAUAAGUGAUCUUGAAAUCAAAUCUAGAUAAAAACAUGCUGUAAUGGGUUUGGCAAUGAUUCAAGACACGUGCUGAUAUGAAGUACUUGAGGUUUUUAUGGUAUGUAUACAUGGUAACUGGACUUGAGGUGCCUUCUAGAUAAUGAUUCUAUUCUUGAAAUGAAUCCACGAUUAUAAAGUGCUCUUUGUCAUAGAUCUCAUAAUUAAUCUCAAUUAUUGAAAUUUCCUUCAAUAAAAAGCUGUUGGGUAGAUUUUGUCAUUUGUUCUCAUUUGUGACAACACGGCACCUAUAGCAAAAUUUGACGUGUCUGUUUCCAUAAAAAAUACCUUCAAGAAGUCAACAUAAUAUAAGAUUGGUAUAAAAACUUAUAUAUAAACUUGAAUGGAAUAAAGAAGUAGAAGUCAAACGUAUAAGUGGAGUUAGAACUUGAGAAAAAUUCUUAAUGAAGAUUUGAUAGUAAUUAGCAAAGCCCAAAAAGCAUUGCAUAUCUCGUACUGUUCUUAAAAUCUUCUAAGCUAUGAUAGUUUGAACUUCUUGGAAUCCAUCAUAAGGCCUUUGCUGGAAAUGAUGUAUCCUAAAAAGUCAACUUGAAUAGUAUAGAAUAUACACUUUUUCAACUUGGCAUAUAAUCUUGCAUCUCUAAGUUUCUAUAACAUGCGAUGAACAUGAAAUUCAUGUUCUUCUAUAUUCUUAGAAUAGAUUAGAAUGUCGUCUAAAUAGCAAACAAUAAAAUCAUCUAAAAACUCACAAAAAACAUCAUUCAUAAGAUAUUGAAAAGUGGCUGGUACAUUUGUGAAUCUAAAAGGCAUGACAUUAUAAUCAAAAUGUCCAUACCUAAUUCAAAAAGCAUUCUUUGAUUCAUCUCCUUUUUUGAUACGAACUAAGUUGUAUGCUUCUCCUAGAUCUAUUUUGGUAUAGAUCUUUGUAUGAUUGAGUUGGUCAAGAAGUCCUAAAAUAAAAAGCAAAUGAUACCUAUUUUUGAUGGUGAUCUUGUUGAGUCACAGAUAAUCCAUACACAUUUACAGAGAUUUGUCUUUCUUCUUCUCAAAUAAGAUAGGAGCUCCAACUGGAGAUUUAGAAUGGCAUAUGAACUUCUUUGCCGAAUUCUCAUCAAUGUACUCUUUUAAUGCAACCAAUUCAUUCUGUAAUAAGCUAUAGAUUAGUCUGAAUGGUGGUUGAGUUCCUUCUUGCAGAUCAAUUGAGCAAUCAUAAGAUCGAUAUUCGAGGAGAAUAUCUACAUUCUUCUUUUAAAAAAUAUCUUGGAAUUUUUGAUAUAGGUUAAGAAUACCACUUGACGUUGUUUCACCAUUAGAAAUGGGUGUAGCAUAUAUAACAAAAGAUGAUCAUUCUUUUACAGAAUGCAUGAAAGUAUUUGUACCUACUAAUAUAGGUUUGGACGUACUUGACUUAUGUACUUCUACUUUACUAAUACAAUCUUAAAUUAUAGUAUCAAAAAAAUUAAGGUUAGAAGAAAUUCAAUCUAUUUAAGGAUUAUAUUUUUCUAGCUAUGAUAAUCCUAAAAUAACUGGAUUAGAGGGAGAUUUUAUUACAUUAAAUACUACUACGCUGUUAUGAUCUUUGAUUAUUAUAUCUAAAGGAAUAGUUUCAUAGAUAACAUUUCUAGAAGACAAUAAAUGACCAUCUAUGACUUCUACAUAUAUGGAUUUAACUUUCUUCACUAAGGGUAUUUUUUGAUUUUUGGCAAAAUCUUCAUCUAUAAAACAUGCUAAGGCUCUUGAAUCUAACAAGGCAAAGACUUUGUGAUUAUUAGGUCCUAAAUAUACUUCUAUUAUAAAAUAAGGUGAAGGAUCUGCGCAGAGGAUAGGACCUUUACUAGAUGUUGCACAUGAUUUUAGCUGCACGGCCCUUAUUGUAACUAGAGAAACUUAUUUUUCGACACAUUAGCUUCUUUGAUAAUUGUGCUCCUCAUUUUAUAUUUAAAUUUCUUCUUUGGACAAUAUUGAACAGUGUGCUUAACUUCUCCACAAUAUUAACAUAGCUCCUCUCGGCGAUGUUGAGUCUUUUCUUACUUCAUGAAAGGCUUAAAACGUAUCAUAUCAAUUUGCAUUGAUUUUGGCUUUGACGAAUAUAUUUCAAAAAACAAAAGAAUUGCUGCCAUUACUUGAUUUGUUUUACUCCAAGUAAAAUCUUUGUUCUUGAUACCUUUCAAAUAAACGAUUAUUACAUGCAAUGACUUGAGUAAUAAAUUAUUCUAAAGAUUCUACUUUUGACAUUCUUAAUAACAAAUCUAUGACGCUAUCUUUCAAUCUAUAUUGAAAUUGGUUAAUAAGUACUUUGUCGUUCCAGUCCACAUCGCAAGCAAGAUUUUAGAAUUUGGUAACAUAUGUAAUAACUGAUUGUAAUCCUUGCUGUAAGGAUAAAAGCUUGGUCUCUGCUACUCCUUCUCGAUCACUUUCUCCAAAUGUAGCUAGAAAUAUUUCUAGAUAUGAAUCAAAUCAUAAAGGAGUUAUGAAUCUUUUUUUAUUAAAGAUGCAAACUAAGAGAUAAUACUUCCUGAUAUUAGUGCACCUAUAAAUCCAACUUGGAUAAAUCCAUCAAGAUAUUGAAAAAGGUAUAAUUUUAGAUACAGCUUGACUUGUUACAAAAAUCCUCAAAAUUUUGAUCUUGUUCCAUCAAACUUCUCAAACAUACUAAUCCUUGUCCCUAUCAUACUUGUAGAAGCAAAAUUUCAUGGAUUUGAUUGUAACGUUGAUCUAUUUGCUUCUUAACUGCACAACUUCAUGCCGCAGACUCUGAACUUCUUCCAUAAGCAUAGGCGUAGUACUUCCUUGAUUCAUGUUGGAAAUGCAUGAGAUUUUCACUGUUAGAGUAUUGACAAGCUCAUGAAGAUCUACCAUAGUUACAAAUCUAUUCUCACUUCCAUUGAGAAUAUCAUCCAUAAUCUUUCCUUCCAUAGAACAACUCAAACAAAUUCAAAAAUUAAAUUAAAGGAGGAUAAUCCGUAACCUCUAAAAAUAAAUCCUACAAAGAGGGAUAAUCCACUCUCUUUAAAGAAAAGAUGAGUAUUAGAAAACAAGAUUUUUUGUUUAAAGGUGGAUAGUUUGAAACCUUCAAAACACAACAAUAGAAGUGGAGUAAUCCAUUCACUUCUAAAAUAAGGCAGAAAUAAUAUGUUAGCACUCUUGUCAAACUGUCAAGGACAUGAAACUUGAAGAAAGAGAAUCCUCAAUACACUCUUCUAUGGCUGAAGAGAACUCAAAAGUCACUCAAAAGGUGAUGUAAUAUUAACUAGAAUGGCUAUUAUCAAAAAUAAGAAGAUUAGAAAGUCUUCAAAUAAGACAAAGACUAAAAAGGCAUUAACAAGAGUGAAGAACUACUAUCUAACUAAGAGCUACGUGGCGAUGUCCUAUACGACCUCCAAUAUGUAUUGACUUUGCUAACCACAUGUCAUAUCUUGCAAGGCAAGUUAUCUAUGUAUGUACCACGUAGUUGGCUUGUUCGACAAGUAAUUACACGGAGAUAACUUGUUCUACAAACUCCCAAUACAUGAUUAGUUUUUUGGCCAAGUUUCUAACCUAUAAACACAUCUAAAGUCAAAACCACGUCUAUGAAGCAUUUAAGAAGUUUCUCUAGAAAACUUUAUGAAAUUAUUCUAUAUUUAUCUACUUCUACUUAAUCAUAUACGUAACUAUUGACGUAAAUAUAUAUGUCCAUGACAGUAGGUUGUUUCGCUAUCAUAAUACAUGAAGUCUUGCUUGAGAAUGCUCCGGGCACAUAUCUAUGAAAAUUAGAAUGAAAAUUGCAACAAUAAAAUCCUAACUCUAAUAGAAUACUAACUAAACUCUAAUUAGACCAGAAUAAUACUAAGCAAUCUUUAAUCAAAUUUAAAUAAAUUCAAUGGAAUUACAAAGAAUCAAUAAGAAAUCUUAAAGAAAUAUUAUAAUAAUAAAAAAAUAUUACUCUAAUACAUGUCAAUUCAAUCUUAAUUUAUUCCUAGUUAAAAUCUCAUUGGACUUCAUUCAAACUUUAGGCCAAAAACUAACUAAAUUUUAAGUCGUAAAUAAAUCCUAAUCAAAUCCUAAAUUCUAAAUCAAUUUCUAACCAAAGCUUAAUCCUAAAUCAAACUUUAAUCCUAAAUCAAAUCCUAAAUCUUAAAUCAAACUCUAAUUAAAUUCUAACCAAAUCCUUAAUCCUAAAUCUUAAACCAAAUCCUAACCAAAGCCUAAUUCUAAAUCAAAUCCUAACCAAUUCCUAGUAAUUCCUAUAACAAAUUUAAACCUCAAUAACUAAUGAAUGAUCCAUUGAUCUUGACUUAAAAUUUUCACACUUCUUAAUAAUUAAGUUGAGAAAAAGUAUAAAAAAUUUGAAAAGGAUCAAAAGUACUAAAUAAACGAUAACUUCAAAAACGUGCUCAGGUAUAGACCAGCCUCUUUCUUUGACCUUAAUGCCAAUCUUCCAGAGCCAAUAUCUCUCAUUUUUGCCAUUUAAUUGAUUUUAAAAUUCUCAUAUAUAUAGAAAAAUAAGUCUAAUAUUCUCAUCCAUAAAUUUCACUCCAAUCCAACUAGUAGAUUACAAGAAAUCUUAAAAUCUCUCACUAGACCUAAAACUCUACUUUCUGAGACCUUGACCCAUUUAAACCUCUAUAAUCCUCAAUUCAACCUUAAAAUCAAGGUAAAAUUCAUAAUACAUAUUAAGCACAAAUUUAACCAUUAAUCUAUACAAUUUUACUCAUGGAUCUAUUAUAAAAUUUUCAAAAUCGCCCAAAAUAUCAACCCUAUUUUAUUUCACAAAAAUCCAAGUCAUUAGAAACAAACUUAACUUUGUAGAGCUCUUAGAAAGUCAUAAAAAAUCCAAAUCAUACAAAACUAAUGCUUAUAGAAACCUUAUCUAGUUUGCUAUCAAAUUCCACUCUUUGAUCUGCAAAAGAAUCCUAAAAUCCUUGUUAAAGAUUGGUUUUGUGCCUUAGGGUCUGAUUUUGAUUCUAGUUUAUAAUCAGCCCUCUCUGGGUAUCAAUAUCUAGUUUUUCUAAGUGAUGUUUACUAGAAUUCAUUCUUAGCUUCCUCCUUAAGAUGCUUAUAUCAUUUAUUUUUCUAAUCUAUUUUGUUUUGCCUUCUUUAUGGCUCCACAAAGUAAUUAGAAGUCACUUUUCUAAAAAGACAGCAUUACUACUAAAAGUUUUACUACCUUUCUAUCUUUUAUCCAUAUUUUUCUAUUUUAUCUUUUAACUUCACUCUUCUAUAAUAAGAUCCAUAUUAUCAUCUUUCACCAUAUAGUCAUGUUACAACAUGAUACCACAAUAGUAUUGGCUAAUAGCAUAGGACUCCAUGCUAUUAGUUGUACCCCAUAAUUAUUGAAAUCUAUAGCAUUGACACUCUCUGUAAUCCUAACUGCCUUCUUAAAUGUUUGUGGAACCCUUAAUUCUUUUUACUUGGAUGACAAGUUUCAAUCCUCGUAUAAAUCAAUCCAUCAUCUUUGCCAUUGAAAUAUUGAGAAUUUGAAGAUAUAGAGACUUUAUCUAAAAGACAUAAACUUGUACCGACUUAGAUUGUGUAAGAUUAGCCAAUUGAUUAUUUGCUAACUUUCUCACAUUGAUAGGCCAAAAUUGAUUCUUUAUUUUGGUCUCAAACUCCUUUCAAUCAAAAAAUCUUUCUUAAAUUCUAUAGCUUUGAACUCAAUAUGACCACCAAAUGGCUACUAUACCUUUCAAAUAAUUCAAGGCAUAUAUGAUUUCUUUGUUGGUAUUUACCCUAGAUAAUUAGAAGUAUUGUCAUAUGCUGAAGAACCAUUGGUAUACAUCUUCUUGCCUUAAGAUCCCUAAGUAUGUAUCGAGCUUGUUCAAUUUUAGCCUAAUAGAUAUCAACUCUCUUAUUUUAUAAGCUUCUAUUUAUCCUUACAAAAUAGCAAUUUAGUCUAUGAGUUGUUGUAUCUAAGAUUCUAUUUGGAAUUGCUUCAUUAUAUCUCUUGUGUUGCAAUUUCCUUCCUAAACUUUAUAAUUGUAAUGUCUUUUCUUCUUCUAGUUGACUUCUUAAAGUAAAUCAUUGUAGCUCCAAAAUAGUACCUAAUGUGAUCACAACAAUUUACUUCUACUUAAAUGGUAUCAGGAUAGAGAGAAUUUGCCUCAAGAAAGUGCUGGACUUUUGAGUGCCACUAAAUGCUCAAUCAAGUCUAAGAUAUAAGUUUAUAUAUAAGUCUACAAUGAUUUACUUUAAGUCUUAGAGAAACCUUAAUCCCUAAUAAGGCCUCGGGCAGCCUCUUAGAAGUCCAUUGGGCAUUGCCUUCGACUAAUAGGAAUGAAGAUUUCCAUUCCUUGCCUUCAUCCAACCAUGUCUUGCUUUCAUCCCUCUCAAUAAGCCUCCUAAUAGUUUAGGCUUUCAUCUUUAGACUCCAAUCUUCCCUUAAGUUUUAUACUAAAUAUCUAAAUCCUACAUAUUAUAAACACUAUAAUCAAAAUAGAUAAAUUCCCAAAUAAAUUUUCCUAUAUCAAUUCUCUUUAAAUUUAUUUACUAAUCACUCUAAUCUACAUCAAGACUUAUAAACAUAUUAUAUAUCUUAAUUAAUUUUUACAUACUGUAAGCAAUUACAGUACGACAAUGGUGGCUAUCAAUAUACUAGCAAAGAACAGACUAACACUUGCUUUGAUCUUAAUGAAACAAGAUUAGAUUCUCUAAGGUCUAAAACCUUAUCAAUUUCAUAACAACAAAUAUAACAAGAUAUUGAAAAUAUAAUUAUAUAGAUAGUUAGAACCAUGGAAGUUUUUAGAAUUGGAGUUAAAUUAGUGGACCAUGUAAAACCUACCAUAGAACAUUCUAGAAGAAUUUAAGAUGAUUAUUUAGGUGGAGCCUACCAUAGAACCUUUUAAAAAGGCUUAGGAUAGUUAUUUAGGUAGAGCCUACUACCUAGAAAUAUUUUAGAAAGUCCAUGGUGGUAGGACAAGAUAUAAAUAGGAUUAGCUAGGACCUUUUGGGGCAUCUGAUCAGAUAUGGCUUUAGACUCUUUUUUUUAGUAAAGUUUGAUUUUGCAUUUUUUUGUUCAAUUCUAUUAUGUUUUGUUUCCAUCUACUUAGUUGUCUUUCAUAUUCUAUUCUGUGUAGUUCCAUUCAAUUUUAUUCUUAUUUGUUUUGUCCUAUUUUUUUCUAUUUUGUGAUGAAAUUUUAUGUUAUUUUGGAAUAGAAGGAUCUUAGAUUUUUGAGAUAGUCUGGUCCUGUUUCAUUUGUAUCAGAGUGAAUGUUAGACUGUUUAUUUUUGGUAGCAAGUCAAUAGACAUCAUCUAGUCCAAGGUCAAUUAUUGUGGUCACACUCGAUAUUGUGUUAAGGCUAUUACAAGCUACUCUAAAAAAGUCAAUGAAGAGGUGAAAAUAUAUUACAAUAGUGGAGUAGCAAAGAAAUUACAGUAUGGGAGAUAUGGCAGAGUAAUCCUAGAUAGAGGCUCAAAUACAACAUUUCUUAGGCUAUACAGCUACUUUACAAGGACAAAUAAAAACCUCAAGGAUAAGAGAAUCAACAUCUACUACGUUGAAAUUGAAUAAGCCGAGUACAUACUCUAGAACUUUAAAACAAAAAGAUGUAUGUCAAUGGCUCUUCAACAUGCAACAAUACCUCCAACUAUUCAGAGCUAAUACCACUAAAAGAAUUAUAUAUGUAGCCAGCUAUUUAAGGGAUGUAGUAGCCAUUUGGUGGCAAUGUCGAGUUCAAAGCUAUGGAACUAAAGGUAAAUUUUGUGAUUGGGAGGAAUUUAAGAUUGAAUUUAGGAAUCAAUUUUGGCCCAUCAAUGCAAAAAAGAUAGCAUGCAAUUAGUUGACAAAUCUUAUACAAGUUAGGUCGAUGCAAGAUUAUGUCUCUUGAUUCAAGUCCCUAUGUCUCCAAAUUGGUAAUGUUUUAGAGGCAUAGAUGAUGGAUCAAUUCCUACGAGGUUUGAAACUUGGAGUCCAAUAAGAAGUGGAGCUAAAGAAUCUACAAAUAUUUGAAGAGGCGAUUCAAAUUGCAAAGAUAGUGAAUUCUAAAGAUUUUAGAAAUUAUGGAGUACAACUUAUAGCACAUAGUCCUAUCCCGCUAUCUAAUAUUAUGGCACAACAACCAAUGCCAAUAGAGAUUGAUACCUUAUAAGAAUCAUCGAUACUACAAAGACAACAAAUAUUGGUGCAAAACAAAUUAUACUUUUAUUGUUGGUAGUCAGGCCAUUAGAUAAGAGGUUGUCCAAAAUAUCAAAGUACAAGUAGCAACAAGGCAAGACAAGUUCAUAGUCUCAAAAGUCACUAAGCCAAUAAUGAGUCAGUAAAGAAAAUAGAACUUUCUAAUAAAGGCGUCAGAGGCCAAUACUGGAAGUAGCUACUGUCUCUCAAAAACAAAUGGCAUAGCCUUGGAAAACUAUAAAGCAAGUUGAUUGGUGUAUCUAAUGGGACUAUUAAGAGGACAACCAUGUAGAGUACUUAUAGAUUGUAGUUCUACAAAAAAUUACAUCUCAAUUGAAAUUGCUAAUCGACUUCGAACUAAAGAAAUCAAAGAAUGAAGUAUAUACCUUGUGAAUGUUCAAGAGAACAUCUUGAGUGAGACAUGUGAAGAAGAAACCUUAAGAUUCAUAGAGAACUAUAUCUUAAGAGAAAAAUUGAAGGUGACAAAAUUAAAGUAUGAUAUUAUCUUUCAUAUAUCAUGGCUAGAGAUAGAAAAUAAGAAAGUUGAUUGAGUAGCAAGGACAAUCUCUUUUAAAGAUAGAGGAAGCAAUCUAACUCUUUGCACCUCUACAUCAAAUUAAGAUGAAAGACAAACUACAAUCAAAGACAUACUUGUAGGAACAACAUUUAUAAAGAAGCAAUUACAGCAUGAGCAAUCAGUAUAUAUGGUGGUUCUAAAUCUUGCAUCAAUGGUAGAAAAGAUAGCCAAAUGGAUAGAAGAGGCAGAACAACUCGUAUGAAAAUAUCAAGAUGUCUUUUCAAUCGACCUAUCUAAUGGUGUACAUCUUGAUUGAGGUGCCCCUUUUUAAAUAGAACUAUUGUCUAGAGCCAAACCAACAAAUCAACUAAUUUAUUGCCCAGCACCAAAAGAAUUUAAAGAGUUGUGAAAAGACAUUAGAAAAAUUCUUGGAGAAAGACCUCAUUUGAGAAAGUACAACACCAUAGGGAGCACCAAUACUUUAUGCACCUAAGAAAGAUGGUAGACAUUGCCUUUGCAUCGACUAUCGAUGUCUCAAUAAGCAAACUAUUAAAAAUGCAUAUCCACUUCCAUACGUGGAUGUUUUUUUUUAUCAACUUUGAGAUGCGACCUUCUUUAGUAAAUGGGAUCUUUAAAGCGGCUAUUGGCAAACACCUAUUAGAAGAGAAGAUAUAAAAAAUAUGAUAUUUUCUAUGCACUAUAGACAUUUCAAAUGGCUAAUUUUAUCCUUUGGUCUCACUAAUGCUCCAACUUCUUUCAUCGGUUACAUAAACAAAUUCAUUUGAGACCUUUUGGAUAAGUAUGUAGUUGUCUUUAUUGAUGAUAUCCUUGUAUAUAGUAAAAUCCUUUAAAAGCAUGAGGAACACCUAUGAAAGGUGCUAUGCUAGUUAUAAGUUAGUCACUUCUAUUAUAAGCAAUAAAAAUGUAAACUUUGGAAGUCAAAAGUCAUAUUUUUGAAGCAUGUGGUGUCUUUUAAAGGCAUACAUAUGGAAUAAGAUAAGGUAAAAGGAAUGGAUGAUUGGCCAACCCCUACACAUGCUUCUAAAAUUUGUUCAUUUUUGAGGCCUUGCAAGUACUAUCGCCAUUUUGUUUGGCGAUUAAUUCACAUUACUACCUCAUUAUUAAACUUAUUGGAGAUAGGUGCGUCAUUUGAAUGGAAAUUAGAGUAGCAAAAUAUCUUUGAUAAAUUGAAGGAGAUACUCAUUACAACUCUAAUAUUGUAAUUAUAUGAUCCUAAUCUCUCUUAUACGCUUUAUAUUGAUGCUUUUGACUUUGCUAUUGGAACGGUCCUUCAACAAGACUUUGAUAGGGGCCUUUAACCUAUGGCAUAUCAAUCAUGCAAGCUGAGAAGGAUAGAGCAUAAUUACUGAGCAUGUGAUGUAGAGCAAUUAGCCAUUAUAAAUGCCACAAAGGUGUAGUGACACUAUCUAUUGGAAAAGCCAAUGAUUGUUCAAACUGACCAUCGACCUUUGCUACAUGAUUUGUAUCUCAAAAAUAUGAAAUUGUGGCAUCAUCAUUGGAAAGAACAAUUAUAGCUUUUUGAUAUCCAGCUUGAGUACAAGCAAGGGCAACAACAUAUUGUACCCAAUAGUUUAUCACAGAGACCAAACUUGAAAGACAAAUUGAAAGACAAGGUAAAAGUUGCUACCAUUAGUAGUAUUAUUUUAGAUCUAACUAAAGACACAAAGUAGAAAGAGGCUAUACAAUGAGAUAUUUAUUUCAAGAUGGUUAGCAAUCGAUUUACAAUAUGAAGUAAAAAAUUAAUGCUCAAUUUACUUGUUCCUCAAACAUUGAAUCAAGCAAUUGACUUUGCUGUGAAGUGCGACAAUCGUCUUUUAGAAUUUUAAUCUAAGAACCGUACAAGUAGAUCUUAACAUUACUAUAAUUCAAUGGCAAUACCAACAUCUCUUCAAUACAUAUAUUUGGAAGUAAAGGAUAUGCAAAUUGAUGCAGUACGUUUCAAAUCUCUUAUUGAGCAAAAAAAGACUCGAAGUUGUCAGGAAGGAUUAUGCUUAUAUUGUGGAGAACCUAAACACAUUUCUCAACAUUGCCCAAAAAAAGAAUGCAACCAUAAAAUGACGAGUACGGCGAUCAAAGAAGAUAUCAUAUCUGAAAACAAAUUUAUCCAGCUAUAAUAGGGACAGUGCAGCUGAAACCUUGUACAACAUCUAGUGAAGAUCCUAUUCUCUCCUCAGAACCUUUUCCAUGUUUUACGAUAAAUGUUAUUCUAGGACCUAAACAUCACAAAGCCUGUGCCUUACUAGAUUCAGGAGUCUCAGCAUGUUUUUUAGAUGAAGAAUUUGCUAAAAGUCAUAGCAUACUUUUAGUGAAGAAAACUAAACCUGUUCAUGUAGAAGUCAUAGAUGGUCAUCCGUUGUCUUCAAAAGAUGUUACUCAUGAAAUCCUUCCUAUAGAAAUAGUAACUAAUGAUCAUAGUAGCUUUGUAAUAUUUAAUAUCAUUAUAUCUCCCUCUAAUCCAAUCAUUUUAGGUUUAUCAUGGCUAGAAAAAUAUAAUCCUAAAAUAAAUUAGACUUCUUAUAGUCUUGACUUUAUACGCCAUUCCAAAUCUCCAGUGGGAGCUCUAAUUUUAUUUGUGAAGAAAAAAGAUGAAUCAUUGCGGAUGUAUGUCGAUUAUCAAGGAUUCAACAAAAUCACCAUCAAAAACAAGUAUCUACUACCUUUGAUAGUUAGACUCUUUGAUUAAUUGAAUCAAGUUAAGAUCUAUAUAAAAAUGUAUCUAUGACAAGCAUACAAUGUAGUAUGCAUCAAAAAAGGAGAUGAAUGGAAGACUGUGUUUUGAAUAAGGUAUGGAAAUUUUGAAUACAACGUCAUGCCUAUUGGACUUACAAAUCCACCAGCAGCAUUCCAACAUCUAAUGAAUGAUGUCUUUCGAGAGUUUUUAGAUGAUUUUGUUGUCUGUUACCUAGAUGACAUCUUAAUCUAUUCUAAAAACGCAUAAGAACAUGAACUUCAUAUUUGUCAUGUGUUACAAAAAUUAAAAGAUGCGAGACUCUAUACCAAGACAAAAAAAGUGUAUAUUUCAUGCUACUCAAGUCGACUUCUUAAGAUACAUCAUUUCAAAUGAUGAACUUAUGAUGGAUCCUAAGAAAGUUCAAACUAUUAUGGAUAAGAAGAUCUCAAAAAUGAUAAGAGAUGUCUAAUGCUUUUUAGGAUUUGCCAACUACUAUCGGAUCUUCAUCAAAGACUUCUCUCAAGUUGCAGCUCCACUUACACAUUUGACUUGUAAAGAUAAACCUCAAUGGAAUCAAAAAGCGGAAGUAGCAUUUGAAGCUUUGAAGAUAGCCUUUGUUUCUGCACUAAUCUUGUAUUAUAUUGAUUUUUUUAAGCCAUUUUUUUAUCAAAAAAAAUGCAUCAGACUUUGCUUUGGAUGUCGUAUUAUUAUAAAUGGAAAUAGAUGAUAAACUUCAUCCAAUAGCUUUUCAUUCCAGAAAAUUUUUAAUAGUCGAGAUCAACUACGAGAUCCAUGACAAAGAAUUUUUUGCAAUCAUGGAUUCAUUUUAAGAAUGGCACCAUUAUCUAGAAGGUGCUUCUAACCUAGUCACCGUAUAUAUAGAUCACAAGAAUCUUAAAUAUUUUAUAUCAGCACAUGUUUUGAAUCAUCGCCAAGCUCGUUGAAAUAUGCCUUUGUCAAGAUUUGAAUUCAAGAUCAUUUAUCAAUCAAGAAACAAUAAGGUUUGUCAAAUGUACUUUCUAGAUAAUCUAACCUUCCACCAAAGAAAAGAGAUGUUGUUUUUGAUAAGCAAUGGACAAUUCUCUUGAAGCCAGAGCAUCUUCAUCUUUGAGCAAUGAAAUCAACAUUAAUUGUUGAUUCAACUUUCAUUAAGCAAGUUCAAUCAAGUCUUCUUAUCCUUUUAUUUGUGAUAUUAAGAGAAAUCCUUCAAAGUCUCAUGAUACUUCCAAGUUUGAAUUCAAGAACAAUCUAUUAUAUUUCCAAGGACGCCUAUAUGUUCCAAAAGGUAAAGCUUGAUUACGUAUUCUUCAAGCUCGUCAUGAUUUUCGAGCGAUAUGACAUUUUGGAUACAAUCAAACUUUGGAACUAGUAUCCAGGGACUUUUGGUAGCCACAAAUGUUUAAAGUAAUCAAAGAUUUUAUAAAAUCUUGUGAUAUUUGCUCAAGAUCAAAAACUCCUCCUUUUUGACCUUGCGAACUUCUUCAGCCAUUAUUCAUUCCAAAACAACCAUGGUCUUUUGUUUCUAUGGAUUUCAUCAUAGAUCUUCUAAUCUUAGGUUCUUAUGACUCUAUAUUCGUGAUAGUAGAUCAUUUUACCAAGAUGGCACAUUUUAUACCAUGUACAAAAUCCAUCAUAAGUAAAGAAACAGCUAAGCUCUUUCUUGAUAAUAUCUAUCACUAUCAUGGAUUAUCCAAGGAUAUUAUAUCAGAUAGAGGAACUCAGUUUGUAUCAAGAUUUUGGUGGACUCUUUUCAAGAUUCUAAAAGUAGAUAUAAAACUAUCUUUGACAUUCCAUCCUCAAACUCAUGUACAAACAGAGUGUAUUAAUCAAGUUUUGGAGUUGUAUUUAAGAUGUACCAUCAACUACCAACAAGAUGAUUAGACAACUCUUUUGCCAUUGGCAAAGUUUAUUUACAAUAACACAAUACAUUCUUCUACAAAACAAACACCUUUCUUUGCCAAUUAUGGUUAUCAUCCACGAUUUGAUACUUUUAACUUUUUAAAAGUUGAUAAUCCUUUGGCAAAAGAUUUGGCAAUUCAUUUUUUAGAGCUACAUACAACAAUGAAGGCACAAUUAAAAGAAGCUCGAGAACAACAAAAGGUCAAUGCAAAUGUCUAUCAAAAGGAACAACUAUCAUUCUACAUGGGUGACAAGGUAUGGUUACUUCGUCACAAUAUCAAGACCACUCGUUGUUGUAACAAAUUGGACUAUCAAAGGCUUAGACUAUUUUUUAUUUCUGCACAAAUCAAUCCAAUUGCAUAUUGUUUACACCUAUCGGAGUGAAUGAAAAUCCAUCCAAUAUUCCAUGUAUCUCUUCUUGAACCAUUUAAAGAAAUGGACAUGGCAUGAAGAAGACAAGCCCCACCUUUUGCUAUAGAAAUGGACAAUAAUAAAGAGUUCAAAGUGGAAGAAGUCUUAGAUUUAAGGUGGCACCAAAAUAAAUUAGAAUAUCUUGUCCAUUGGCAUAGAUAUGAUAUUAGUAAAUGCACAUAGGAGCCAGUAAAGAAUCUUGCAAAUGCAACAAAGGUGGUGGAGGCUUUUUAUUGAUGACAUCCAUCAAAAUCAAGAUGAAAACCUUCCUUAUAAAAAAAAACAAGAUCUAGGCAAGAUAACAUUCUACUUUCAAUCCUUGUUUGUAGCUUCUUUGUAGUUAUGACGCUGAGGAGAUGGAGAACCAACAACUAGUAGAUUUGAUUUAAGAACCUUCGUUUGUUGACCUACCGGACGAGACAUUAUGAUUGUCACAACCUUGAAUAUGAUGCAAUCGAGAUGAAGAUCUUGAAGAAUGACAAAUUCUUCCUCCAAUUGAUGGCGAGAUACAACGCGUUUGGUAUUACGACUUUGAAAGGGACUUCCGAUGUUUGGUGAUAUUACUAGAGAUAGGAACAACUCUUGAUGGUAUUCCAAAUGUUCGAAGGAAGUUAUCAAGGCCUCAACAACAAUGAAAUAACUAGGUGGUCUUCUCGCCAUAGUAUGGGACACCAUCGAUGGUUGAGAGGCCCUUUCAAUCAUCUUCAAAGAGAACAAAGAUCAGAGUAUAUGGCAAAUACAAUUUGUUGCACCAUAGAUUUCUUCAACAUAUGUCACGGACAUACUCAUGUAAGCUAGUAAUUACAUAUACAAAAAGGUAGAAGUAAGUAAAAGUAUGUAAAAGUAAGUUAAUUCUAUAGUAUUUAAUAUAGAAGCUUCCUAGAAACUUCCUAGAUGCUGCUUUGACUUCAUAGGUAUCUUUAAUUGACUUUUUGGAUUAGAAACGUGGUCAACAAGUUCGCCAUGUGCCACACAUGUUGUUAGCUUGAAGAUCAAGCUAACUAUAUGGCCCACACGUAGAAAAACUUGCCUUGUAAGUCAAGGCAAGUGUCCUAUAAAGUCAAUACAUAUUAGAGGUCCUAUAGAACGUCCUCACGUAGUCCCUAAUUAGAUAGUAUAUGUAGAGACAAGAAUGAAGCCUUCUUCACUCUUGUCAACUCCUUUCUUACUUCUAGUCUAGUUUCAAGGGUCUCUAGUUUUCUGGUCUUUUGGCAAUAGCCAUUCUAGUUUCUCUUUCAAUAUACAUACUUAUUUAUUUAUAUUUUGUUACCUUUCUUUGAGUGAAGGCUCACUUGUCUGGAUUGUUUUUUCAUCGAGUUCUUUUCCUUGAUAGAUUGACAAGAAUACAUCUAUAAUAUCAGAGCUUUGUCUAAUCUUGAUUAAGAGUGGAUUACCCCUUUUUCUUGAUAAGAUAUAAGCAUAUUAGAAGUUACGGAUUACCCUCUUCUAAACUGAUAUUGUACUUAGUAUUUUCCUUGAUCUCAAGUCCUCUUUUCUAUCUGUCUUGAGUGAUAUUAGACAUCUUCUCUUUUCUAAGUAUUAUCAUGGCAGAACUUGUUGAAAUGAAGAGUGCAAUGGCACAAAUGCAAGAGCAAUUGAGGGAGUUAAUGCUUGUGAUUCAUCAACUCAAUUUACCACCACAAGGAGCAAGAAGAUUGGCAAGAAGUAAAGAUAUAGAAAUGGUUGAAGCUGCUUCAACAUCUGCACCAAACCAUGUCCUUUCUCCUAUGGUGGAAUGCCCUUUCAGUAUUAGACAACCAAGAAUUGCCCUACACGAGAAGUUUGAUGGCACAAGAUCCAAGUUUCGAGGAUUUAUCAAUCAAGCAAAACUUGUGAUUGAACUUCAACCCCAAAGCUACCCAACUCCAGGAUUGCAAGUUAGAUUCAUUGGUACGCUUCUUUCAGGUUCAGCACUAUUGUGGUUUUCAUCUUUUCUUGAACGACGAGAUCCAAUAUUGGAUAAUCUAAAGGCUUUUUUGGCAGAGUUUUGAUCCAUGUAUGGAAAACAUGAUACAAUUCGUGUUGCAACCAAUAAGAUCCAUAUUUUACAACAAGACAAUCGAUCAAUAACGUUAUAUCUUUCACAAUUUUGACAACUUGUAAUUGAUAUCAAGUGGGAUGAUACUACACUUAUUAGCCAAUUUCUCUAUGGAUUACAAUAUGAGGUAAAAAAAUUACUGCACUACUUAUCUGAUCCUCAAACAUUGAGUCACGCAAUUGACUUUGCUCUGAAGUGCGACAAUCACCUUUUUGAAUUUCGAUCUGAGAACCGUACAAGUGGACCUCAACGUUACUAUAAUUCAAUAGCAACACCAACACCUCUUCAACACAUACAUUCGGAAGUAGAGGAUAUGCAAAUUGAUGUAGUACGUUUCAAACCUCUUAUUGAGCAAGAAAAGACUAGUCGUCGUCAAGAAGGAUUAUAUUUAUAUUGUGGAGAAUCAAAGCACAGUGCUCAACAUUGUCCAAAGAAAUGAUGCAAUCACAAAAUGAGGAGUAUGGCUCUGAAAGAAGAAAAUAUGUCAAAAAAUGAGUUUGUCCAGCUACAAUAGAGACCGUGCGGCUGGAACCUUGCACAACAUCUAGUAAAAGUCCUAUUCUCUCCUUAGAGCCCUCUCCUUAUUUUAUAUUAAAUAUUAUUUUAGGACCUAAAUAUUACAAAUUCUCUGCCUUGUUAGAUUCGGAAACCUCAGCGUAUUUUUUAGAUGAAGAAUUUACUAAAAGACAUAGCAUAUCUUUAGUAAAGAAAACUAAACCUGUUCAUGUAGAAGUCAUAGAUGGUCGUCCAUUGUCUUCUGGAGAUAUUACUCAUGAAACCCUUCCUAUAAAAGUAAUAAUCAAUGGUCAUAAUAGUUUUGUAGUAUUUAAUAUCAUUAGAUCUACCUCUAAUCCAAUCAUUUUAGGUUUAUUGUGGUUAGAAAAAUACAACCCUCAAAUAGAUUGGAUUUCCUGAACUUUUACUUUCUCUAAAAGUAUAACUAACAGUGCAGUUAAUCAAGUAGAGAGUUAUAAGUCCAGUUAAAUUAAAUCCAUAUUUAUAGGUAAAAAAGCUUUCUUGCAUGUUGCUGUGAAAGAAUCACCAUAUAUUAUUUAUGCCACACUUGUUCCUACAGGUGAAAAGACUUCAAGUUGCAUUCGAAGCCAAUAUCAAGAAUUUCAAGAUGUAUUUGAAAAAAAGAAUGCGGAUACACUCCCGGAACAUCGUCCCUAUAAUUGCUCAAUUGACCUUCAAGAAAGAAUACAACUGCCAUUCGGACCAAUCUACAGUUUAUCACAAAAUGAGUUGAUUGAACUUAAGGAAUAUAUUGAAGAAAAUCUAGCCAAGAAUUUCAUACGCCAUUCUAAAUCUCUGUCAAGAGCUCCAAUUCUAUUUGUAAAGAAAAAAGAUGGAUCAUUGUGGAUGUGUGUUGAUUAUCGAAGACUCAACAAGAUUACCAUCAAGAACAGGUAUCCACUACCUUUAAUAUUUGGACUUCUUAAUCAGCUGAAUCAAGCUAAGAUCUAUACAAAAAUAGAUCUCCAUGGAGCAUACAAUCUAGUACGCAUCAAAGAAGGAGAUAAAUGGAAGACUUCGUUUCGAACUACAUAUGGACAUUUUGAAUACAACAUCAUGCCUUUUGGACUUACAAAUGCACUAGCAGCUUUUCAACAUCUAAUGAAUGAUGUUUUUUGAGAGUUUUUGGACGAUUUUGUGGUCUGUUAUCUAGACGAUAUCUUGAUCUAUUUUAAAAAUCCAGGAGAACAUGAACUUCAUGUUCGUCUUGGUUUACAAAAAUUAAGAGAUGCAUGACUCUAUGCCAAGAUAGAAAAGUGUGUAUUCCACACUACUCAAGUUAAUUUCAUAGGUUAAAUCAUUUCAAAUGAUGGACUUAUGAUGGAUCCUAAGAAAGUUCAAACUAUUGUAGAUUGGAAGAUCUCAAAAACGAUAAGAGAUGUCCAAUGUUUUUUGAGAUUUACCAAUUACUAUCAGAUCUUCAUCAAAGACUUCUCUGAAGUUGCAGCUCCACUUAUACGUUUGACUUGUAAAGACAAACUCCAAUGGAAUCAAGAAGCGGAAGUUGCUUUUGAAUCUUUGAAGACAGUGUUUGUUUCUGCACCAAUCUUGUAUCGUGUUGAUUUUUCCAAAGCAUUCUUUACGGAAACAGAUGCAUCAGACUUUGCUCUAGGUGCGAUUUUGUCACAAACGGGAACAUAUGACAAACUUCAUACAAUCGCCUUUCAUUCAAGAAAAUUCUCAGCAGCAGAAAUCAAUUAUGAGAUCCAUGAAAAAGAACUUCUUGUAAUUGUGGAUUCUUUUCAAGAAUGGUUUCAUUAUAUAAAAGGCGCUUCUAGUCCAAUCACCAUAUAUACGGAUCACAAGAACCUCGAGUAUUUCAUGUCAACAUGCAUAUUAAAUCAUCGUCAAGCUUGUUGGAGCAUGUCUUUAUUAAGAUUCAAGUUCAUCAUCACUUAUCGGCCAGAAAAACAACAAGGUUUAUUCAAUGCCUUAUCUAGACGUUCUUUUCUUGUACCAAAAGAAGGAGAUGCAACUUUUGAGCAACAAAGAAUGGUUUUCUUGAAGCCGGAGGAAUUUCAUUUUUGAACAAUAAAAUCAACAUUGAUUGUUGAUUUAACUUUUAUCAAGCAAGUUCAGUUAAGUAUGUCUUCAGACCCUCUUGUUCAUGAUAUCAAGAAUAAUUCUUCUAAAUCUCAUAAUCCCUCUAAAUUCGAGUUCAAAAAUAACCUAUUCUAUUUUGAAGGAUGCUUAUAUGUUCUAAAAGGAGAAGCAUGUUUACGUAUUCUUUAACUCGUCACGACUUCCUAGCAACAAGACAUUUUGGAUACAAUAAGACUUUGGAGCUAAUAUUUAGGGAUUUUUGGCGGCCUCAAAUGUAGAAGGCAGUCAAAGAUUUUGUACAAUCAUGUGAUGUUUGCUCAAGAUCAAAAACUCCUCGUCAUCGACCUUUUAGACUUCUUCAGCCAUUAUCCAUUCUAGAAACAACCAUGGUCUUUUGUUUAUAUGGACUUCAUCAUAGAUCUUCCAAUCUCAGAUUCUUAUGAUUCUAUAUUUGUGAUAGUAGAUCGUUUUACCAAGAUGGUACAUUUUGUACCAUGUACAAAAUCUAUCACAGGUAAAGAAACAGCUAAGCUCUUUCUUGACAAUAUCUAUCGCUAUCAUGGAUUAUCCAAGGAUAUUAUAUCAGAUAGGAGAACUCAAUUUGUAUCAAGAUUUUGGCGGACUCUUUUCAAGAUCCUAAAAGUAGAUAUAAAACUAUCUUCGACAUUCCAUCCUCAAACUGAUGGACAAACGGAGCAUGAUAAUCAAGUUUUGGAGCAAUAUUGAAGAUGUACCAUUAACUACCAACAAGAUGAUUUGACAACUCUUUUGGCAUUGGCAGAGUUUGCUUACAAUAACACGGUAUAUUCUUCUACACAAUAAACACCUUUCUUUGCUAAUUGUGGUUAUUAUCCACGACUUGAUACUUUUGACUUUUCAAAAGUUGAUAAUCCUGCUGCAAAAGAUUUAGCAAUUCAUUUAUCAGAGUUACAUGCAACGAUGAAGGCGUAGUUAAAAGAGGCUCAAGAAUAACAAAAGAUCAAUGCGGAUGUGUAUCGAAAGAAAUAACCACCAUUCUUCUUGGGUGAUAAGCUAUGGUUACUUUAUCGCAAUAUCAAGACCACUCAUCCUUGUGACAAGUUGGACUAUCGAAGGUUGGGACCAUUUUCUAUUUCUACACAAAUCAAUCUAAUUGCAUAUCGUUUACAUCUACCAAAGUCAAUGAAAAUCCAUCUAGUAUUCCACGUGUCUCUUCUUGAACCAUACAAGAUAAUGGACAUACCAAGAAGACGACAAGGUCCACCUCCUCCUAUAGGAGUGAACAAUAAUGAAGAGUUUAAAGUAGAAGAAGUCUUAGAUUCAAGGCGACGCCAAAAUAAAUUAGAAUAUCUUGUCCAUCGACGUGGAUAUGGUAUUAGUGAUCAUACAUGGGAGCCAAUAAAGAAUCUUACAAAUGCAACAAAGGCGGUGAAGGCUUUUCAUCGACAACAGCUAUCAAAAUCAAGCUGAAAACCUUCUUUAUAUAAGAAACAACAUCUAGGCAAGACAACAUUCUACUUUCAAUCCUUCUUCGUAGCUUCUUUGUAGUUGUGACGUUCAAGAGAUGGAGAACCAACAACCUGUGGAUUUGACUCAAGAGCCUUCAUUUGCUGACCUACCGGAUGAGACGUUACGAUUGUCACAACCUUCAAGACGACGCAAUCGAGAUGAAGAUCUUCAAGAACGACAUAUUUUUCCUCAAAUAGAUAGCGAGAUACAAUGCAUUUGGUAUCACGAUUUGGAAAGGGACUCCCGAUGUUUGGUGAUUUUGCUAGAGGUAGGAACAACUCCUGAUGGGAUUACAAAUAUUCUAUUUGAAGAAAGUUAUGAAGGCCUCAACAAUAAUCAAAUAAGUGGGUGGUCUUCCCACCCUAGUAUGGAACACUAUCAAUGGUUGAGAGUCCCUAUCAAUCAUCUUCGAAGAAUACAAAGAUCAGAGUAUGUGGCGAAUAUAAUUCGUCGCAUCAUAGAUUUCCUCAACAUAUGAUGACCGCUCUUCAUGGAACUCGUUCGUAAAAGGGGGGGUAAUAUCAUGGACAUAUUCAUGUAAGCUAGUAAUUACAUAUAUAAAUAAGUAGAAGUAAGUAAAAGUAUGUAAAAGUAAGUUAAUUCUAUAGUAUUUAAUAUAAAAGCUUCCUAGAAGCUUCAUAGACGCUGCUUUGACUUCAUAGGUGUCUUUAAUUGAUUUUUUGGAUUAGAAACGUGGUCAACAAGUUGGCCAUGUGCCACACAUGUUGUUAGUUUGAAGAUCAAGCUAACUAUGUAGCCCACACAUAGAAAAACUUGCCUUGUAAGUCAAGGCAUGUGUCCUACAAAGUCAACACAUAUUGGAGGUCCUAUAGAAUGUCCCCACAUAGCCCCUAGUUAGAUAGUAUAUGUAGAGACAAGAGUGAAGCCUUCUUGACUCUUGUCAACUCCUUUCUUACUUCUAGUCUAGUUUCAAGGGUCUCUAGUUUUCUUGUCUUUUGGCAAUAGCCAUUCUACUUUCUCUUUCAAUAUACAUACAUAUUUAUUUAUAUUUUGUUACCUUUCUUUGAGUGAAGGCUCACUUGUCUAGAUUGUUUUUUCAUUGAGUUCUUGUCUUUGACAACAUAUGAUGACCGUCCCCAUAGAACUUGUCCUUAGAAGGGCGGAGGGGAGUUAUGUCAUGGAUAUAGAUAUGUAAGCCAGUAAUUACAUGUGUAAAUAGAUAGAAGUUAAAGUAGGUAAAAGUAAAUUAAUUCUAAAAUAUUUGUUAUGGAAGCUUCUUAGAAGCUUUAUAGAGGUUGAGUUGACUUUAGAGGUGUCUUUAAUUGACUUUUGGAUUAGAAACGUAGUCAAUAAGUUGACUAUGUGCCACACAUGUUGUUAGCUUGGAGACCAAGCUAACUAUGUGGCCUACACAUAGAAAAACUUGCCUUGUAAGUCAAGGCAUGUGUCCUACAAAGUCAACACAUAUUAGAGGUCCUAUAGAACAUCGCCAGGUAGCCCCUAGUUAGAUAGUAUAUAUAGAGACAAGAGUAAAGCCCUCUUCACUCUUGUCAACUCCUUUCUUGCUUCUAGUCUAGUUUCAAGGGUCUUUAGUUUUCUUGUCUUUUGGCAAUAAUCAUUUCAGUUUUUUUUUUCUUAAUAUAUAUAUUGAGUUAUUUCUAUUUAAUCAUCUUUCUUUGAGAGAAGUCUGACUUGUUUAUUUUUCUUUAUGAAGUUCUUCUUCUUAAUAGUUUUUGAGAUAGUUUGGUCAUGUUUUUACAAGAAUCUCUACUUAAUGUAAGACCAAUCACACCAAAACAAAAUUGAAAGUAACUAAAGAAAAUAGAACAUAAAAGUUAGGACUAAGUUAAAAAAAAUAUAUAACCAAAUAAAAUCAAAUAGAGUAGAGCAAGAAAAAACAACCAAAUUUUGAUAUUAAAAAAAAAAAAAAAAAAAAAAAAAAAAAAAAAAAAAAAAUCUAAAGCCAUACUUAAUCAAAUCUCCAAAUAACCUUAAUUAGUUUGAUUUAUAUUUGAUUCAACUAUUAUGGAACUUUUUAGAAUAUCUCUAAUGGUAGGUUCCACUAAAAUAACCACCUUUUAUAAGACUCUAGAAGUGGAGCCCACUAAAAUAACCACCUUAAAUCUUUUUAGAAGGUUUUAUAGUAGAUCCCACAUGAACCACCAUUCUAACCUCAAUUCUUAAAACUUCUCAAAAAUGAUUCCAACUACAUAACUUUAUGUACAAAUAAUAUAAAUAUCCUAUUCAUGCCCUAUUAUAAUUUUAGUAGUAUAAUUUUGAUAUUAAAAUAAAUGUUGUUAAUAUCAAAUUAUAGUUUUGAAGGAUGAUUAUAAUAAAACUUAUUAUUUGAAGCUAAGUUUUUUUUUAAAAUUAUUUACAACUUAAUUUUUUUAAAUAAAUAUAAAAUCAAAGAAUAUAUUCUAAAUUUUAUUUUAAAUAAUUUAAGUAAAAAAUUUAUCUAUAUAUAUAUAUUUAGCUAGAUCCUAUUAUAUAUAUUUUUUAUAUAAUUUUUUUUAUUAGAAUGGCUAUACUAAAAUCCUUGCAUUGAAUCCUAUUAUAGCUAUAUUUAUAAUAUAUAUCUUCUUACUAAAUAACAAAGUAUAAGAACUUUGUUUGUUCUUUUUUCAAAAAUAUUUGCAAUAAGAAUCCUUUUAUAUUAAUGUAUAUUUUGACUAAAUUUUAAUAUUUUAAAAAUCUUUUUCAUUUCAAUUAGAAUUAUACACUAAUAUUUUAAUUAAAAAAAUUAUUAAAUUACAUAUUCUUGCAUAGAAUUGAGAAAUUUUCUAUUAAAAAUAAUAAGCUUUUUUUAAUCAAAGUAAUAGAUCAAGGUAUAUAAAUAAAAGUAAUAGCUUACAUGAUGCAAUUCUACAAAAUUAUUUCCAAAUUUUUUAAGACGAUGAAGUUAAGUUUAUUCAAAUAUAUAAGGUUAAUUAUUCUAAUAAUUAAGAUUCAAUAAACUUUAUAUUUUAAUAAUAUUUUUGAAAUCAUAUAUAGUAUUAAAUAUUUUAUUGGUAUUUUUUUAUAGAACAAAAAUAUUUUAUUGGUUUUUUUAUAGAAUGAGUAAGUUGAAGGAAUUUAAACUUUUAUAUCUAAUGAUUUUUUAUACUUGAAGUAAUCAUAUAUAGACUCUACUUUUAUAUUUAAUAAACUUAAAAAUUAAUAUUUUAAUCAUAAUUAUUAUUGACAUUAUUUAGGUAGGAAAAUUAAGAUGUCUUGAAGUUGAUACAAAAAUAUCAUAUGAAAAAAAUGAUGGUUAAUAACAAACAUCUUCUUAGUUUUGGUGUCAUUUAAGUUGUUUUUAAGCAAUUCCAAAUUCAACUAUUUAUUUCUUAUUUUUUCAUUUAAUAAAUUUUUAUUGCACAAUUAUUUAAUGUAUUAUUGAACAUGUAAAAUCUAUUUCGACAAAUACAGCCAUUGUCUUUUAUGUAGUCAUUAGAUGUGUAAAUUCAUAUAUAUACUUUAAUUCUAGCAACUGUUUCUAUAAUUUUUUGGAAGUGUAGGCCAUCAAUAUGAGCCAAAAUAGUAAAAUUUAAAUAUUUUAGUAGAAAAAUUGUGUUCAACAUCCGAUUCAAAUUUGUAUUUAUGAAUUUAAAAGUUAGUCCAUACCAUAAUAAAAAAAUAAACUUCAUUUUUGUAACAAGUCUCCAUUAAUGUUUGGUAAGUGAAUUGAACAGGGUUGUAUCAAACACAUGAUUGCAGUCUGUCUUUGCAUAUCAAAGUCAUAACAAACGUGAUUUCUUUUUUUGUGCAUUCUACCAUAUUUUGUCACUACCAAUAGAUGGGAACUAUGAGUUGUGCUUUGCUACUUAAUAUAAUUCAAUAAUAAUUUAUCUGUAAAAAAAUCAAGUAAUUUGGUAUUUUGUUUUUCUACAUCUAUUUUGGUUACUAAAAUAUGCAGUAGCUAACAAAAAGUUAUAAAUUCAAAGCAAAGAAUUUACAAUUUGAAAACUACAUUCCAUAUUAAUGUGGUUUUAAAAAAAAACUGUAAUUUGAUAAGACAAAUAGUUUAAUUUAUAUUUUUAAUACUUUUUAAUUUCAGAUAUAUAUAUAUAUAUAUAUAUAUAUAAUUAAAAUUAUGACAUAAAUUUCCUUGAUAUUUAUAAUGUGUAUUUUUUUCUUUAGAUAAUUUAAUUUUUUCAUAUAUAUAUAUAUAUAUAUUUAUUUAUUUAUUAAAGCUUGACAAUGAUUCAAAGUGGAUCUAUGAAUGAACUCAAUUCCACGUUAUUCUAUUGAAUAUAAUUAAAUAAAAAAACUUUUGAUCCUUUAAGAUUCAAAUAUAUAUAUAUAUAUAUAUAUAUGUUUGUAAAACAAUUUCUCAAAAAAUAGUUAAUUUUUUAAAAUAUUUACAGAUAAAUAUACUAACUCUAGAUGAAUUGACUAUCUGAUACCUGAGAUAUGCAUAAUUUUAUAGUAAUUUGAAAAAAAAUAUAGUAUUUUUAUCUCAAUAAAAUAGUAAACUUUGAAGAGUGAUUUUAUUUUCAUUUUUUAUUUUUUGGUCCCAAUAAAUUUAGGUUAAAUAUUUCAAAUUUAUAAAUUUAUAAUCUUGAAAAAAAAUACUUUUAAAGUUACAAUAAACUUUUGAUAUAUUUUGCUAGGAGAAAUAACCAAAUGAUUAUGUCUUAGUACAUUCAUGUUUAAGCCAUUAAACAAAUAUGAUUUUCAAAAAAUUGUUAAAAGUAAAAGUGAUCUCAUUGUCAUUUUAUUUUUACAAGUUACAGGUUUAAAGUAUGUUGUGUAAGCUUGUGAUGAUUUGCAGCACAAAGUAGUAGAAGAAACUUUCUAUUAAGACUUUUUGUCUACAGUUUCAAAUGAUAUUUUUUGCAUCAAAGCAAUAUAUGAAGAAUGCUUGGUCAAAUUUUACAGUAGCAUUGAAAGUUUUUAGAAAUAAUCAUAAAUUAAUGUUUUUGAUUGCAUGUGCAAUUGAAAUGUAACUUGGUUGAACUUGCACAAAAAAGAUGUGCAAUAUGUGCAAUGUAAACAAAAAUAAGUAAAAAAGCAAGGAACAUCAACAUGACAACAAUUGUAACAUAAAAUAGGAAUAAAAAUAACAGUGGAUGGCAAUUUAUUUCUGAAACCCUAAUAUUUGCAACAAUGAUUCCAUCACAUCCUCCUUGUUUUCUCAUGGACAUACUCUCAAGGCACCAACCCAUGUCCAAACAUGCACUUUAUUUCUUCUUCUUCUUCUUCUUACUUAUAUGUAAGUUUGAAAAUAAUAAACUUCUACCCCAAGUCUUUGUGUAAAGGCCAAUUGGACGACAAUAUUAUUGAUAAUUAUUCUUAUUUUUCAUUCUCCUUAUUCUUUGAUACUUAAUAUUGAGUAACAUUGAAAUAUCUUAAACUACCCGUAGACCUUGUCAAAAGCUGCCCUUGCACAAACCCAAAACUAACUAUUCUUCUUGUAGUUUUAUGUGUUUUUAUGGACAGUUUUGGCCAAGUUGAUGUGUUGGUUCAGGGGUUCAAAGUGCAAUAGCCUUUGAAAUUUUGUAUCAAUUAAACCACUAUGGCUUUUGCAAUGUUUUCUUUUUGAGCACAUUAGAACUUUAUUUCUCUACCAUUUUUAUUAUUAUUAUUAUUAUUAUUGUUGUUGUUUUUUAAUUUCUAGACCCACACUCAUAGACUGAUGGGCUGACCAACUGGCUCCAGGCUGUGGCUUGAAGUGGGCAAGCACAGGGAGAAUCAGAGCCCCAUAUAGAAAUUAGAAUAAUAACAAUAAAUAAUAAGAAUGAGAAAUAAUAAAUAAUGAAAAUGGAUAAGAAUGGGAUCUAUAAUGGUGUGGGGCAGUGUGGGCAUUGGUUGGGGGGGGUCCCCUCUCCUUUUUAUUCAUUUAUUCGUCAAUUUCUUUCUUUCUUUCUUUCUUUCUUUCUUUCUUUCUUUAUCUUUCCAUCUAUUCUUCUGUCUGUGCCUGUCUAAAUGUGUCACCAAUCCCACUUGCAACAUGUGGAACCCCAUUCCAAUAUGAAUGGUUUUUUUAAUAACCAAUCCACUCUCUACCAAACAUUAAGCACUUGUUUAUAAUUGGGCAUGCAAAGCAUUUUCAUUAGGUAUGUGUCAUUGGGUGUUUGUUGUUAGUUAUGACAUAUGAUAUGAUUGGAUGUUUUGUUAUAUUUUUUAAGUCUAGUCUUGAGUGUAGAUUAUUUAUUUAUUUAUUUAAUUUUAUGUUAAAAACUGGAUACUACAGGAUUACUUUUGUUGUUGUAUAUUGACUAGAACAACGAAUGAAAAAAUCAUAAUUUUAGUUAAGAGUUGUAAGUCUGAAUAAAUCGUGUUGUGUAUAUGAUGGGAAUUUUCUUUUCUCUUUUUUCUUUCUUCAUAUGGGCAUGAAUGCUAUCUUUUUGAUAUCGAAUUCCAUAGAAAAUCAAUAUUUACUUAAAGGUAUGUCUUGUCUUCUUUUCUUUCUUUGUUCAUUCAUUCAUUUUAUUUCUAUUUUAUUUUUCCGUUAGAGCAGUUUUGCAUUCACUGCGCUCAUUUACAGAUGAAUUACUAAUUUAUCCUAAUAAAUCUUAAUCACUUCAAAAGAUUGUGAAUCACUUACCUGGCAAUUUUAUUUUAUGUUUCUAUAACAUUUUAAAGUAGGAAAGCAUGUAUCAUGCUUCUUAAAUGUAUAUAGUUUUUGAAAUGUUUUCAGUACGCACCUCAAACAAGAACACCGAAGUAAUUACAUGCACAUGUUUGUAAUUUUGUGUAUACUUUUUCUUAUUAUUAAUAAGAAAAUUACGGAGAAUAUUAAACUCAUUUUUUUUAAUUACAUAUACUAUGUUACAUUCUUAUAAUUUCUCAUAAUAUUUUGCAAUUCAAACUCCAUAUACCAAAUAAAUAAAUAAAAAAAAAUUAUCACCAGAACAUUGUAUCUUUCAUUUUUUAAAAAAAGUACACAUGAAGUAAUUCAAAAUUAACUAAAACGUCUCUGAAAAAGAAAAAAAAACAAAACAGAACAAAAAACACAAAAAUAAAAUCCACCAGUAAGAGUUGCAGCCCUCUAAUCACGGCUCCCACUCACUUUAACUUUCUCGCCCGAACUCACUUUAACUUUCUCACCAUUCCUCCGUACCGCUUUUUUUUAAUAAAAAAUUUCCUGCCCGUUUUCCUUUUGAGAUACUUUUUUCAGAAUAAUACUGCCCGAACUGCUCGAUCAGGUCGCCAUCUAGACUCCACGUCCGCUGAGUCCCUCAGAGUUCUCGGGCAGGAAGUCGAAUACUAGCCGUGCGAUGCAGGAUCGGAAGGCGCAGAGACGGCGUGCGGAAGGGUGCCGCGGCGGGUGAGCUGUAUAAGCAUCGCCAAGGCUAUUAACCCCCGAACCCUUUCUCCCUCUGCUUCGUUCAUCUAUCCCCCUCUCCCUCGUUGUCGCUGCUGCUGCUGCAUCGUCCCCUGGCGGUACGCGCUCUUGUGCUUCCGCCAUCGCUGCAACCUCCACACGCCCUUGCAGCUCGCCGCACAAGGUAAGUCUUCGUCUCUUUUGCGUCUCUGUGAUGGCCGUGCCUGCCAUGUCUUUUUUUAUUUCUUGUUUCCUCUGAAUAUUCUUCCCGGAGGUGUGUGAUGCGCUGUGUUUUAAGGGUUUAGAGAAGAGGUUUAGAUAGCAAGGGAAGAGGUGUGCAUGUGUGCGUGUGUGCUCCAAGGGGGUUUCAGUCAUGGUUUUUCUUGCAAAUCGAGGAGUGUACGUGAAUAUUGUGGGGAUGCUGCGUGCUAAGGUCUGGAAAUUGUGUUUUCUCGGGAAAGACAGUGAGUGUGGACGGUUCGGGGUUUUUCAGUACGACGCCUUACGACGACUCCAGGAGGCGUCCUGGAUCAGUUUAUUCAUACGUGGUUUGUUAGUUUCUGACAUAGGUUUUCUCUUGUGCGCCUUCACUCGGGCGGAAUUACGAGCGCACGUUCUUAGUGAAAAUGAUAGUUCUACCGUCAUAUGGCUGUUAAGUAGAUAGAUCGAAAGUUAAGUGUUGGUUGAAUCUGACAAUGAGAUCAAGGACUCUGCAUUUGUUGAACACUUCUUAAAGAUCCUUAAAGUGUUUCAUAUUAAACGAUGUUCAUGCUAAGUUUUACCUAAGCGUUUAGAAUUACCAACCCCAGCAGAUGUUAGUUGUGAUGCUAGAAGGAUGAUCGUGCUAUUGCACGAUUCUAAGUAGACAUUGCGUUGAGGGGACAUUUUACUCCGGUUUUCAUUGGGGCAGCCCCUUAGCCAAACUUUCUGUCUGAAGAACAUGCAUACGAUGUGGUUUACAUGCUCAGAUGGAGACAUUUCUUUUCACCUCCGAAUCCGUGAACGAGGGUCACCCCGACAAGCUGUGCGACCAGGUGUCGGACGCCAUCCUGGAUGCGUGCCUGGAGCAGGACCCUGACAGCAAGGUGGCUUGCGAGACGUGCACGAAGACGAACAUGGUGAUGGUGUUCGGAGAGAUUACGACGAAGGCGGUGGUGGACUACGAGAAGAUCGUGCGCGACACAUGCCGCGAGAUUGGGUUCACGUCGGACGAUGUGGGACUGGAUGCAGACAAGUGCAAGGUGCUGAUGUACUUGGAGGCGCAGAGCCCGGACAUUGCCCAGGGUGUGCACGGGCACUUCACGAAGAAGCCAGAGGAGAUCGGCGCGGGCGACCAAGGACACAUGUUCGGGUAUGCGACGGACGAGACGGAGGAGCUGAUGCCACUGACGCACGUGCUGGCGACGAAGCUGGGCGCGAAGCUGACGGAGGUGCGGAAGAACGGGACGUGCGCGUGGCUGCGGCCGGACGGGAAGACGCAGGUGACGGUGGAGUACAAGAACGAGGGGGGUGCGAUGGUGCCGUUGAGGGUGCACACGGUGCUGAUAUCGACGCAGCACGACGAGACGGUGACGAACGACCAGAUCGCGGCGGACCUGAAGCAGUAUGUGAUAAAGCCUGUGAUUCCGGAGAAGUACAUGGACGAGAACACGAUUUUCCACCUGAACCCGUCGGGGCGGUUCGUGAUCGGGGGGCCGCACGGGGACGCGGGGCUGACGGGGAGGAAGAUUAUCAUCGACACGUACGGGGGGUGGGGAGCGCACGGAGGAGGCGCAUUUUCGGGGAAGGACCCGAC
rnacentral:lncRNA from 1 species